UACAUGCCAAAGUCUUGCAUAUUUAUUCAGAGAGAACUAGUUCAGGUGACAUCAACUCAAAGAUGCAACAACUAUACAAGCCUUUUUCCCAGUAAGUGAGAAAAGACUUGAGAUAUUCUCUGGAAAUUCACCAAAGUUAAUUUAUUUCUCUGUCUACAUCAGAUUUCAUUGUUUAUCAUAUAUAAGUUGCAAUUGUAAGGCAAGACACACAAUAGGAAGAGGAGUACAUAUUCUGUCCAACAAUUUGCCUCAUCCUAUGUGUCAUCAGUUGUGAUCAGUUUGAGAAAUAUUUAAUAAUUAAAUAUUUAAUUUAAUUAUAUUUUUAUCAACAAAUUACAACUGGUAACACAUUGAAUAAUACAAAUUACAGGAUAUCAGAAUGCUCCCAAUAUGUAGAGCCUAUGGUUAUGCAAAAAGCAUGAAAUCUCAGCAUUCUUGGCAACUACAGUCCUCAAAGCGGCACAUGAUGCAGCCUCCACAAUAACAAGUUGUGCAGCCUUGACAACCUGAAGAUCGAGUGCAUCCCCUACUGGUUCUGAGACCUAAUCGCUCUUGAGCACUAUCGCAUGUUAUUCUGAAACAUCAAAACACUCACAUUCAUUAAUUAACAUACAUAUUGGAACAAAUCCCAUGGUAGCAUACUGGAAUCUACCAUAAUUAUAUUCUAGUUUACCAUAAAGCUAAAUUAGGUUUGGUUUGGUCAUAGACAAAACAGGUGAAGCACUAAUGAAAGGGACAACAGACAACAUAUGGUGUAUUAUGGAGGAUGUAACUAUUUAUUCCCUUUUUGAUUUAUCCAUUUAAAUGUCUAAUAAUUAAUAAUGAUAUGCAAUAAGAAAUAAUAGUUUCAUAACCAGUCAUAAAAGGUGACAACAACAUAUCUUAUCUAAUCUCAAAAUUAGUAUUGAACUAAUUUCUUUUUUCUUUUUUUAUUAUCAGACCUUACUAAGUAAAUGUUUAGGAGUUUGCUUUUGGAAGAAAAAAAUCAUAAGUCAUCUUAUAAGUGUAUUUUAUGAUUCUCAAAUCUUUUUCAUCUUUUUAUUAUUAUUCUAAAUGUAACUCACAGACAUGUAGUAGAUGGAGGCUUAUGGGUCACCCUAGUUUCUUUUGUAUUAGAAUACCUUUCUAGUUUAAUAUGAUCCAUAAAAAAGUAAUGAUAUUUUCUGCUCUCGUCCAUGCAUAACUAAAAUAGCUGGAACCAAUGGCACAAUUGAUUAAUAGGAAUAUAGAAUUAGGUAGUUUAGAAGAGCAUCAAUUUUUUAUGGGAUACAGAUCAUUUGUUCCUAUUGAUGUCUCAUUCCGUAUCUCGAGCUAAUGAUAUAUUGCCAUAUAAAUAAAAGAAAGUUUUUAAAAUAAAAAGGUAAUAUUGUGACUGACUCGAGACACAGAAUGAGAUUCCAUACGAGAUAUGUGAUCUCUAUCCCAUAUUAUGAUGUUAGGAAGUUCAAUAUCAUUAAGCUUAAGAAGUCAGUUGAGAUGAACUUACUUUUGAUAAGGCCAAUCAGAAUACUUCCACACUUUGUUCUUCAGAGCAGCAUGAUACUGUCCAAUUUGUUGCCUAGUCCGGAGACGAAAUCUGCGCUCCUUUUGGCAACUAGAACAACGAAUGAACUCAUCCCUGUGACAAGUACAUAUGCGGUUUGCAGCAUCUAUCCAGUUUGGAACAUUUGCUAGAUGUGUGUAGUACUUAAACAAUGGUGUCCUCCUAAGAGGAACUCUGUCUUCUUCUUCAGUAUGAACCCAUAUGUUGCUUUUCCAUUUUCCAUUACUUUUUAUGCCAGCAUGCUUUUCAAAUUCCACCAGUGUCACAUUCACUGAUCAUUAGAGUAAAUAAAUUUUCACCAACUUUAGAAUUCUCACUUGUUACUACUUGUAUCAAUAUAUAAUCAAACUAUCAAAUAAUGCAUCACAUACAACAUAGGGAAAGAAUCCUUAUAAAUUAAAGUGUUAUAAUCGUUCAAUAACAUUAUAUCAUUAGUACCAUUUUUCUAUAGAGAAUCAAAUUAAGAAGAAGAGACUUAGUUGCCAAAACUAAGUUUAAUAUAUGACAUUAAGUGUAAGUAUCCGAGUUUAAUAAGACUCUACUUUAAACCGAAGUAAAUAAGAGAAUAAUAGAAGGGUGCACAGAAAUACUUGCCUUUGGUGCACUUAGAGUAACACUCACAAGUGAUUGAAAAUUGACCUUUGUCAUUAAUUCUAAGUUUCCCAAUGAAAUCUCCAUACUUUUUAUUUGUGCAGCCACAAAGAACCUCAAUAUAGUCACUUCCUCUUUCAUAACCUCUUACGUUCUUUAGAUCCUCUUCAUUAAAAGUUAUCACACCACCAUCUUCAAACACAGCCAGCUUUCUUCGUUUCCAUGUCUCUGAUUAUUUCAUGAGGAAAAUAGUUCCAAGCCAAUAAUUUAGACAAAAUUAAGUAUAAUAACAAAAACAAAAAUGUAUAACUAAUAAUGUUUUUAUUUGUAAGCAGUAGCAAAAUAAAAGUGUAGAACAUAAGGGAAAUGCUGGAGGCAUAAACAUAAACUUAAAGCACCAACAACAAUUCCCUAAAAAAGUAAGUGUUCCUGGAACAUGAUGUUUCAAAAUAAUAUUAACUAAUUUAUGAGGUGUAUAUUGUUUGAAUUUUUUAAAAGAUGAACAUUUUUUGGCAUACAGGUUUAGAUUAGUGAUUGCAAGAAUUUUUAGUAGUCUGUCAAAUAACAGCAUUCCAAAUAGUUGCAAAAUAUGUGGACAUCAUGCAUAAUAAAUAAGCUGAAAGGUUAUUUUCACCAUGGAGAAUGCAUAUCAUGAAUAAUAUUGUUAAGAAUUUGUUGUGUUAUUGUUAAGAAUUGUUGUACGAAUAAUGGAUCUCAUAAAUAAAACACUUCAAAAUUUAAACUAGUAAAUUCAAGAUCAUGCUUAUUACCCUUCAAUGAAUAGAUUCUCAAAAUAUAUUUUUAAUAUUAAAAGUAGAGAUGUAGUGAAUUUUUGAAUCAUCUAAUAUUCAUUAAUUAAAAAUAAUACUCAUGAAUAAUGUAGACAAUUGUGUCGACAUUAUAAAUAACUUUAUAUCAACAAUAUAAAAUUUUUUAUAUUGACAAUAGAAGCUCAAUAAACUCUCAAAAGUAUUACUUUCUUGGAAAACAAUUUUGAAAUAUCAGCAAUUUGUAAUAAUCCUAUCAUAUUUCCCCAUAUCAAAUAAUACUUAUUUUUUGCUGCAGCGAUUUAGUGGUUGUGUUGGCUUAAGGGGAUUUACCUUCGUCGCUUUCGUUAAUAGCUUUGAUUUCCAUUCCUGUGCAAAACAAAUAGACCUUUAAUAGUUAGCUUUUCAUUACCCAAAUUUAAAAGAAUAAAAAGAAAAGGGAAGUUUUUCCAUGAUAAGUAACUUGGAGAAAUAAGAAUUAUAGAUAAUUAAACUUGUCUCAUAAUUUCUUAGUUCUUAUACAGUAGUAGUUUAUCCCAUCAUAGUAAAUCUUUCAGACAUUAUUAUAUUGCUGAUAUAUGUAUGAGCUAAAAAUUAACCUAUAAGCAAAUAAUCUUAAACAUGAUGUUCAACAAAAUUUGUAGUGUCAAGAGCUAGAUAGAUUGCAUGCCACAACAAGAAAAACAAUUCAAGUUCACACAAGAAAUAGUAUAAUAUAAUCAACAACCACUAAAGCUGUGUCAUUUAGUAGUAUUCACAAAUAUAUCAUACCAACAAUUGUCAUUGUAUUUCCCCACAAUAGUUCUCCAUUGCGAUAAACACAUUAAUGGAACAAUCAAAACCUCAAUUAUAGUUCAUUAUUCCAUAUAUCACACUCCAUGGUUAUUUUAAUGACACAGCCCCUUACAAAAAUAUAAAAUUUAAAUAGGGUCUGUUUAGUUUUAUGUUGCUCUAAGUAAUUGCAAAUGUGUCACAUUAAUUUUAUUUUGUAAUAGUAAAUGGUUGUAAUAGGAAAUGGUGAAAACAAUAUUUCAUUGUUUUGGUCAUUUCCUAUAAACAAAAUCAAGAAAAACAAAACAAAUAAAAUGAAAACAAUGUAUAUUUUUUUUUUCAAAUAUUAACAGAAUACAUUUUUGUAACGAAUGAGUCCCUAAUUUUUCCACUUGUUUCAAUCAUGCAAAUGGGUAUAAUUUUUUUUAGAAAACCUUAAAAAAUGGAUAAUAAAGUUCAGGGAUAAUUCUAUGGCAUUGCUUCUCAGCAUGCUGGCAUGGGUUGCCUCUUGAUCAGAUAAAGCCCUAGACGGGAUCUAGCCUUAGUUUUCCACCGGAAAUCAUGUGGUCUAAGAAACCAAUGAAUUGAUUCUUCUUCACAACUUAAUAUAAUAUAUAAUGCUAAAUUUAUAUAACUAGUGUGUUUAAUAAUCCUAAUGGGGGAGCAUCCAGCAUAGGCACACGACCAUAUUCUAGGAGAUUAAUCUCUUACCAAUCUGACAGUAGAAUAGUUUACAAAACAGAAAAAAUGUAAAACACAAUGACAAAAAUGUAAUAAUGCAAAAAAGAAAAGACUCAAAAUAUAAAAGUUCAAAACAAUUAACUAUAAAUGAUUUAGUUAAUUGAGCAUUGAUAAUUUAGAAAAAUAGGAUUUCAACAAUUUAGACUUGGCAACAUAAUUGAUGUCCCAUUUUACCACAAAUUAACAUAAAAUCACAAAUUAACAUAAAAAAAUUACGAGUUUAAAAUAGCAGAUAUAAUGUAGUAAAUAUAAUAUUUUAGUUUCAUUCAAAAGCAUUAAAGUUGUUUGAUGUUCUCAAGAUGGUGAUCCUCACCCUCUUCAUUCGAUGGCACCUCUUGAUCAACCACAAAAUGACAUAUAAUACCCAUUUUGACUUUCAUUUCCAAAUCAACAUCCAGUGGUCUAAAAGUAUAAUAAAAUGUUUUUUAUUUAACAAUGAAAGAGGAAAAAACUACAAUUUUUUAAGCUUAUAUAAACGAAGAAUUAGAGUAAUGAAAUUGUGUAUCAGAAUAUCAGAAAUACAGCAUGUGAAAUGAACUUAGUUAAUAAACUACCAUUGAUAACUUAGAUGAAUGUAAUUAUGUGCCGAUCAGUGAUAUGAACUUCAAUAAUUGAUAAAGUAAAAAACACAAAAUAAUUCGCCUCAAAUUAGAUGGAUUUGAAAAGGAAGAAAUCUGAAAACAAACAUCACUUUCAGGAAAAAACACCAUACCUUAACUUCAAAUCAUGUGAAUUGAAAAAGAUUUGAUUUAUAAAAAAUUAAACUAACCUCAUUUCAUCCUUUGAUUCCUUUCUCCUUACUCCACUCUUAUGCUUUCUUUGGUUGAUAUUAUAAUAAUAAAAUUGUGUAUCAAAAUAUCAGAAUAUUAGAAAUACAACAUGUGAAAUGAACUUAGUUAAUAACCUACCAUUAAUAACUUAGAUGAAUGUAAUUAUGUGCAGAUCAAUGACAUGAACUUCAAUAAUAGAUAAAGUAAAAAAACACAAAAAAUUCGCCUCAAAUCAGAUGGACUUGAAAAGGAAGAAACAUGAAAACAAACAUCGCUUUCAAGCAAAAACAUCAUACCUUAACUUCAAAUCAUGUGAAUGAAAAAGGAUUUGAUUUAUAAAUAACUAAACUAACCCCGUUUCAUCCUUUGAUUGUUUUCUCUUCACUCUACUCUUUAGAUUUCUUUGGUUGAGAUUAUAAUAAUGAAAUUGUGUAUCAGAAUAUCAGAAUAUCAUAAAUAUAGCAUGUGAAAAGAACUUAGUUAAUAACCUACCAUGGAUAACUUAGAUGAAUGUAAUUAAGUGCAGAUCAAUGAUAUGAACUUCAAUAAUUGAUAAAGUAAGAAAACACAAAAAAAUAGGCCUCAAAUUAGAUGGAUUUGAAAUGGAAGAAACAUGAAAAUAAACAUCGCUUUCAGGCAAAAACAUCAUACCUUAACUUCAAACCAAGUGAAUGAAAAAUGAUUUGAUUUAUAAAACAUUAAACUAACCUUGUUUCGUCCUUUGGUUCCUUUCUCCUCACUCCACUCUUGUGCUUUCUUUGAUUGAGAGGAGAAAUUGAGAAGAGAGAAAGAUGUGAAAGAGAUAGUAAAGAGAAAGAAGGAAAUGAGAAAGAGGUGAGAAAAUAAUUAGUUUUUUAUUUUGUAUGGUAUGAAUGAAAUGAAAGAGAGAGAGAGAGAGGAGAGAAAGAGGUAAGAGAGAAAACAACAGAACACAAUUAUAUUAUUAUAUACCAAGGCCGUAUUUCUCAUUUCAUAGUAUCCAACAAUUCCCACUAGUUUUUUAUUCAUUUUUUAUGAGAGAUGGUUUUGUUUGGGUCCCAUAUGAUAUGCUCUUUAGUCUUUCCACCCCUUCUCUCUUCACUAACAAAUGAUAGAAAAUACUAUUUUCUCUACAACUUCUCUCUUCCUAACUUAUUUCCUAUUUUUUUACACAACCAAAUGAAGGCUUAGUGCUUUCACUUCUCUCACAACAUUUGUUGAGGGAUUUACUCUUUUGUUGAAUGGGUGAGACACCAAAAAAUUGUCUCCACCUUUGUCAAUUAUAGAGUUAGAUGGAUAAGAGUACCACUUGUUCUCCUAACAUCUUUUCCCUAUUUUAAUAAAAUUCUUAUUGCUCAUAAAAAACUGUGCAUGUAUUCAGUCUCUUGAGUUGAGAAUAUAACAAAGGAAAAAUGUUAUAUUCUUAAAUGGGAAUUAAAUGGAUUUCCACUUUUCUGAUGAAUUUGUAGGUGAAAAUAAACGUCAUCCAAAAAAUACAAAUCUCACUUAGUUGUUUUUCAUGGCAUGGGUACAAGUGUUACAAUAAUAGUAUAGUGUAAUAUCUAUCUUGUCAUUUAUAAUAUUUAUAUACAGUCAAUACAUCAUAUAUUAUUCAUUUGUAUUACUUCACUACAGCAUAAUUCGUAUUUAAAAAUGGUCAUUCAAUAACGCUUCCUAGCACAACUAUGUUAAAUACAAGACGAAAGAUAAUCAUCAACGUUAUUCUAAGCAAGUGCUGUUAAAGUUAAUAGGCAGGUAUAGCUUCAAUAACACUUGCUUCAACAUGCAGUAUUGUAUGUUUGCCCAAGAUAUUUAACAACACUCUUUUAAGCAAUCACUAUUAUUUUGAAUCUAUUCAACAACGCUUGCUUAAAUAAGUGUUGUUAAUGGUGACAUAUCAACGACACUCAUUACAAUGAGCGUUGUUAAAAGUCACACAUCUAACAGUGUUUGCUUUAAUGAGCACUGUUAAAAGUUACUCAUUUAACAAUAUUUUUUUUAAUAAACGCUAUUAAAAGUCAUACAUUCAAAAAAACGCUUGUUUUAGUUAUUACAUAAUAUGUAUUUAAAAAAUUAUUUAAUUUUAUUUUGAAAUAUAUAUAUAUAUAUAGUUUUUCAUAUAUAACACAACUUUGUCAAAAAAUCAUAUUUGGUAAGUAAAUUAUUUUAUUUGCUAUUCCAUUCUCAAAAGUUGAACAUAGUAUGACAACUAAUUUUUUUUAAAGAAAUUUGAUAUUUAAUAGCGUUUUUUUAAGCAAACGUUUUUUAUUUGAAUCUAUUCAAUAUCGCUUGCUUAAAUGUUUGUUGUUGAAGGUGAUAUAUUAACAGUGCUCGUUACAAUGAGCGCUAUUAAAAGUCACACAUUUAACAACACUUCCUUUAGUGAGUAUCGUUAAAAGUCAUACAUUCAAACGAUGCUUAUUUUAGUGAGCACGUAACUUUUCAGAUUUAAAAACAAAACCUCAUAUAGAGUAAUACACAUGUCAUUCAAUAUUCCAUUUCUCUUAUUGUUCUUCUCUUAGUUUCUCUCUUCAAGCAAGUUAUUAACUUUUGGUUUCUCUCUUUGAGCAUAAGGCAAAUCAUUAUCUUAUUUUACCUCAUUUAUUUCUCUUUGAUUCACUCUUGUUGCUUGCCUUUACAUCUAUGUUAAAUACUUAUUUUAUAAUAUAGAAAAUGUCAAGGUUGAAUCAAGGUGGAUCUGUAAGUGAUUUUCCAAACUUGCAAUCUUUGUAUGUAUUUCUUUUAUAUGGCUAUUAAAUUUUCAUCCAUAUUUUCUAUGUAAUUUGUUUUUUGAUUCUUAUUAUAUUAAAUCUGAACUUUGUCUUUCUAUCAUCUUAUUUCUUUAGUUAAGGGAGAGAAAACAUUUUUGGAUUUAACCUCUACAUCUUCAUCACCUUUGUCCCUGUUAUUACUACAUAUAACCUUAUAGGUUAAUGGAUUUGAACUAAGAGAGACAAGUUCAAACAUUGAUUUAUGAAUUGAGUUUUUAGAAUGAUAUUUUUAUUGUCAAUUCUCUAGGAAAUAUAGUGAAAUUGGGUAUGUUUGUUAUGUGUUUGAUAUAAUGUGUGAGAGAGAUUUUGCCUUAUUUAAAAAAAAUAGACAUUUAACAUCGCUCGCUUCACCCAGGGUGGUUAAAUGUUCACUUCCUAUGGCGCUUCAAAAGCGCUGUUGAAUAACAAUUUUAAACAUCGUUGUUUUGCUAUUAUGGCGUAGUACUUGUAUUUAUUUGUAUUACUUAUAUUUUGAAAACAAAUUCUCUCGGGUCAUACAUUAUGUGAAGUUUCCACUAAUGGACAUAUAUAAAUAAAAAAAUUAAUAUUGAGAGAAAAAACUAAGAAAUUAUUUAAUAUUUUAUUAUAUAUUUUUGUUUAAAUUUAAAUGGUACCAAAUGCACCAAAAGGAAAUAGACCAAUUGGGCCCACUUUCAAAUAUGGCUCAGGUUGGAUAAGAUUAAGGAAAACCAGUUUUUUUUAAUAUGAAAACUACAUUAAAACAAGGAUGUUAUGAGUAUCAUAUUUGUUUAUACCCUUCAAUAAAUGAAGCACUUUAUUUUAAUCAUAAUCUCGUAAAUUGAAAGUCAUUUUAGCUAUUAUCGUAUAAUUAUUUUAAAAUAAUAAAUGAUAGAGUAAGUUAUACUGACACUCUAUGAGUUUUAGUGAAAUUACACAAACCACCCCUCACUUUUCUACACCUACACAAACCUCCCCUAGUUUUUAUAGAUUCAUUACACUGACCACCCCUGUAUAAGAAUUAAGUGUAAUAUUUUAAACAAAAAAUGGGACAAAUGCAAUUAAGUUAAAUAAAACAUGAUAUAUUGUGUACACAAGUCUAAAAAAUUUACAAAUCAAUGUAUCUUUAUUAUUUUUUUGUUACAAAAUGCAUCAACAAUUCUAAAGAAAUAUUGUUUAAACCACUCUUAUAAUGUAGUCUAACGAACCAAAAAUAAUAAAGAAAUAUUGACUCAUAUAUUAUUUGGACUUGUCUCCACAAUACAUCAUGUUUUGUUUAACUUAAUUGCAGUUAUUACAUUUUUGUUUAAAAGAUUACACUUAUUUCUUAUACAGGGGUGGUCAGUGUAAUGAAUCUAUAAAAACUAGGGGAGGUUUAUGUAGGUGUAAAAAAAUGAGGGGUGACUUUUGUAAUUUCACUAAAACUCAGGGGGUGUCUGUGUAAUUUACUCUAUGCAAUCAAAACAACUAAGUUUGAUUUUUAUUUUUUGGAUGACAUUUAUUUUUCACCUCCAUAAUUCAUUAGAAAAGUGGAAAUUCAUUUAAUUUCUAUUUAAGAAUAUUUAUUUUUUGCUCAGUUGUAUUCUCAACUCGAGAAACUGAAUUCCUGAACAAUUGUUGUGAGAGAUACGAAAGCACUAAGAUUAGAGUGGGGAGAAAGGAAUCAAAGGAAAAAACAAGGUCAGAUUAGUAUUUGAUAAAUCAAAUCCUUUUUCAUUCACUUGAUUUGAAGUUAAGGUAGGAUGUUUUUGCUGGAAAAUGAUGUUUGAUAUCAUGUUUUUUCCUUUUAAAAUCAUUGUAAUUUGAGGUACAUUUCAUUGUGUUUUUUACUUUACCAACUAUUGAAGUUCAUAUCACUUAUAUGCACUUAUUUACAUAGGUUUAAGUUAUCAAUGGUAGUUAUUAAAUAAGUUCAUUUCUCAUUAUUCAUAUAUGAUAUUACGAUACACAAUUUCAUUAUUCUAAUCCUUCAUUUAUAUAAAAAUUAAGAAUUGUAGUUUUUUCCUCUUUCCUUGUUAAAUAAAAAACACUUUAUUAUACUUUUAGAGCACUAAAUUUUGAAUUGGAAAUGAAAGUGAAAAUGGAUCUCAUACGUCAUGUUGUGGCUGAUCAACAGGCGCCAUCAAAUGAACGAGGUGGGGAUCACCAUCAUCGUGAACGUCAAACAACUUUAAAGCUCUUUAAUAAAACUAAAAUAUUGUGUUUACUACCAUAAUAUGUGCUAUUUUAAACAUUCAUAACUUUUUAUGUUAAUUUGUGAUAAAAUUGGAAACCAAUUAUGUAGCCUAAAGUAUUUUACAAUAAGAUAGGUAAGAGGUUAAUAUCUCCAUAUUAGUUAUUAUUUUAAUAUAUUUAUAUGAUCAUAGCUAAAAUGACCGUCAACGCACUAUAUUAUUUUUAAAAUAAAGUGCUGCAUUUAUUUAUGUGUAUAAACAAAUAUGAUACUUAUAACAUUCCUUGUUUUAAUGUACUUUUCAUAUUAAAAUAAAUUGGUUUUCCUUAAUAUUGUCCAACAUAAUUUUGAUUGAUUAUGCAAUCUCUAACCUCGUCCAACCACAAAUAUAGUCAAGAUCUUAGUUAUAUUUGAAAGACGACCCAAUNNNNNNNNNNNNNNNNNNNNNNNNNNNNNNNNNNNNNNNNNNNNNNNNNNNNNNNNNNNNNNNNNNNNNNNNNNNNNNNNNNNNNNNNNNNNNNNNNNNNAUUCAUUUGUAUUACUUGUAUUUAUUUGUAUUACUUAUAUUUUAAAAAAAUUAUGGUAUGUUAUACAUUGUAUGAAUUUGCCAAUCGUUGUAUAUAUAUAAAUAAAAUCUAUAAUAUUGAGAUAAAAACUAUAAUAUUGAGAUAAAAUAUAAGAAAUUAUUUAGUAAUAUAUUAUAUAUUUUUGUAUAAAUGAUACUAAUUGCAUCAAGUGCAAACCAGGCCAAAUUGGCCCCUCUUUCAAAUAUGGCUAGGAUCAUGACUAUAUUUUUGUGGUUGGACGAGGUUAGAGCGUGCAAAAUAAAUCAAAAUUAGGCUUGACAAGAUUAAGGAAAACCAAUUGUUUUAAUAUGAAAACUACAUUAAAACAAGGAAAGUUAUAAGCCAAAAAGUUAUAUUCUUAAAUGGAAAUUAAUUGAGUUUCCACUUUUCUUAUGAAAUAUGGAGGUGAAAAAUAAACGUCAUCCAAAAAGUACAAAUCAUACUUGGUUGUUUUUCAUCGCAUAGGUACAAGUGUUACAAUAAUAUUAUAGUGUAAUAUAUAUCUUGUUAUUUUUAACAUUUAUACAUAAUUAGUACAUCAUUCAUUUGAUGACAUUACAAUCUGGUACCGCAGGAACCAGAAUAGAUUUGAUGACAAACUAAUAUCUACAAGCCAAGCAAUCUCAAGAAUCAAAAGGGAGACUUCUUACCCUGGCUCUUAUCCCCCUGCUGUAGUAGCUUCAGGAGGCCUUCAUGAAUUCCAAACUCUAAGGUUCUUCAAUAUUCCUCUCAAACUUAGUAAAGCUCCUACAUAUAUUGAAUUUCUAUGGAAGCCUCCUCAUUGGAACUGGAUAAAAGUUAAUACUUCGUUGUUUUUCAUCGCAUAGGUACAAGUGUUACAAUAAUAUUAUAGUGUAAUAUAUAUCUUGUCAUUUUUAACAUUUAUACAUAAUUAGUACAUCAUUCAUUUGACAUUUACAAGAACUCGAAAAUCCUUGAAUAGCUAUAUUUAAUGGAGAUGACAUGGCAAAAAAGCUCUUGUGACAUAGCCCUUUCUCAACUUCCCCAACCUUGUAUCAAACGCGAUGCUAUUGCCAUAAAAAUCCCUAAAGAAGAGUAUCAAGCUGACCUGGCCAAAUGUCAAUCUCAUCUUCAUGGAAGAGUUAUUCUUUCAAAAGGUGACUCACCAAUCAAGUUCCAAGAUCUUAAGUCGAAGCUUGCAUCUAUGUGGAGCAUGAUAGGGAAGUGGAAUAUGAUAUCCCUAGGGAGAGGUUUCUAUGAUUUCACUUUCUCCUCGAUUGAGGACAUGCAAUCUGUUUGUGCCGUGGGCUCUUGGAACCUCAAACCCGGAGUGUUGAGACUCUCUCUUUGGACUCCAGACUUCAAUCCUAAUCUUCAAAAGCUUUCACAUUCACAAUGCUGGGUGAGGAUUCUGGGUCUACCUCAGGAAUAUUGGAGUGCAAAAAUCUUAUUCUCUAUUGCUGGAGGAUUAGGAACACCAAUCUCAUUAGAUGAUGCAACAUCCAACAGAUCUUUUGGGCACUUUGCUAGAGUCUUAGUUGAUACUGACUUGAAAAGUCAUUUGCAUAAUCAGAUCUUGGUUGAGAGAGAAGGCUUUGCCUUCUUUGUGUCCAUUGAAUUUGAAAAUCUUCCUGACUUUUGCUCGAGGUGCAACUCAAUAGGUCACCUAGCAUCCAGAUGGAGGAAAAACAACAUGGAAGGGGAAGGAGCUACUCUGAAACCUGUAGGGAAAAAACAAAUAAUCAGGGGUAGCCAAAGUAGAAACCUAUUGCUGACCUGGUUAUCCAUCUGGAAAUUGACCAUUUGGAAGUUCCUAAACUGGCAAACUUGGAAAGGGUCACAGAUGAGCUUGUUCAAGCACCAGGGGAAGCAAUGUUAGGUCUACUUGUUCAGGAAAAUAUCUCAGUGGAUGAGGAUGAGGAGGAUGAAAUCUUAAGGAUCAAGAAAUGGUCCUUAACUUACAAAAUGAAAACUUUGAGGUCUUAGAGGAUUUGGCUAAUUCAACUGCUGCUAAGGAGUUCAGGCUCGUGGGAAGACUUUAGGCAGAUGACUCUGAAAAUGAAGCAGAAUUGGUGGAGACUAACACCUUCACCAAAGUUUUAACCAAAUCUCAAAAGAAAAAGAUGAGGAAAAAACAAAGCAAUGAAAGAGUGCAUUUUACCCGUAGGGGUGGAUACUUAACUGGAUCUCAAUGAAAGCCCUCUACUGGAACUGUAGGGGAUUUGGUAACUUGGGCACCAAGCUACUGCUAAAAGAGAUUCGUUCUACUCAUAAGCCUGAUGUAGUUUUCAUAUCUGAGCCAAUGAUCCAUGCCAAUAAAAUUAAACCCAUGUUUUGGUCCAAUUUGGGUCUGAAGCUCUUUAUAGCUAACGAUAAAGCUCCUCUGCCAUCUUCAAUUUGGGGAGUUUGCAAGGUUAGUAUUCAGCCAACUAUAAUAGCUAACUCUAGGCAACAAAUAUCGAUUGAGUUAGAGGUUGAAAACAAAAAGUUCUUCUUUUGUGCUGUGUAUGCUCACACGCAUUUUGCUCAUAGAAGAGAGCUCUGGAAGGAGAUUCACCAAAUUCUUCUCAACUUCCCUGGUCCCUGGUGUUGCAUUGGGGAUUUUAAUGUUGUCUUAGGAGCUAAUGAAUGUCGUUGUGCCCGUUUGCCCAAUAAAACUUCAUCUGAUGAGUUUAAAGCUUUCUCUGAUUCUGCAAACUUGACUCACAUUGUAACAAGAGGGUCUGAGUUCACCUGGUCCAAUAAAAGGAGUGGUUCUGCCCAUACAGAGAAGAGGCUUGAUAGAGCAAUCUGUAAUGAUGCUUGGCUGAGUGAAUGGACUAACAUCACCUGUUGCACUCUCCCUAGAUCUAACUCUAAUCAUCACCCCCUACUCCUUUGUGCUUCAGGGGCUAUAAGUAUUAGGCAAUCUCCUUUUAAGUUCCAAAAAAUGUGGCUGCUCCAUCAUGGCCUGAGAGAUCUAAUUAAGACCAAUUGGGAUACAAGGUUUGUUGGAUGCCCUAUGUUUGUUCUAUCUACAAAGCUGAAAAGCUUAAAAGUGGUGCUAAAGAAUUGGAAUAAGGAGGUGUUUGGUAAUAUCCAUCUUAGGGUGAAGGCUGCCUUGAUUAAAGUUAAUGAUAUUCAGCAAUGCUUAAAUCUCAGUGGGGAGGAUCAUGAUCUCAGGGAGCAGGAAAAUCUGGCUCAGAAGGAGCUCCUUUAUGCCUUAAAUUUGAGGAAGAAUUCUAGAAAGAAAAGGCUCGCAUCAGUUGGCACUCUAAGGGUGACAAGAAUACCUCUUACUUCCAUAAGUUAGCCAAAAUAAGGCAUUCAACCAAGACUAUGACCACGUUAAGGGAGGGGGACACAAUCCUGUUAGAACAAAAUGAGAUAGCUAGUCAUGCUUUGUCCUAUUUCACAGAGUUGUAUGCCUCGAAGAACAAUGUCCAGCACAAUGAUUUGAUCAAUUCUAUGGUGCCCAGGGUAGUUUCUGAAGACUAGAAUUGUAUGUUCACUAAAAUUCCUAUGCCUGAAGAAAUUAAAAAUCCAGUUUUUGGUAUGAAUGGUGAUGGUGCUUCAGGUCUUGAUGGGUUUGGUGGUUCCUUCUUUCAGGAGUUUUGGGACAUUGUUGGGCCCGAUGUGUGCAAUUCAGUCUCCCAAUUCUUUGCCCAGGGAUGGAUUCUUCCCAAUAUGAACUCUAAUUAUGUGGUGCUGAUCCCUAAGUUCCCUAGUGCUGAUAGGAUUGAAGACUUCAGACCAAUUGCUCUUGCCAACUUCCAAUUCAAAGUGAUCAUAAAAGUCCUGGCUGAUAGGUUGGCCAUAAUUGCUCCAGAGAUUGUCUCUAGUCAGCAAAGAGGCUUCAUCAAAGGAAGACAUAUCUAGGACUGCAUCUGUAUUGCUUCUGAAGCCAUCAAUCUGCUGGAUCAUAAGUCUUUUGGGGGAAACCUAGCUGUCAAGUUGGAUAUUAGGAAAGCCUUUGACAUAAUUGAUUGGGGAUUCAUAAGCAAUACUCUAAAGGCUUUCGGAUUUGACAACAAAUUCAUAGCUUGGAUAAAUACCAUCUUGGGCUCUGCUAAGCUAUCCAUUGUUGUUAAUGGCCAAAAUCAUGGUUACUUCAGUUGUAAGAGGGGUGUUAGGCAAGGAGACCCCCUAUCGCCCCUUCUCUUCUGUCUUGCAGAAGAUGUCCUAAGAAGGGGCGUAGCCAUGUUACAUGCUGAAGAGAAAAUUCAUUCCAUCUCUGGCCCUGGGAAAAUAUCUACACCCUCUCAUGUUUUAUAUGCUGAUGACAUCCUCAUUUUCUGCAAAGGAAUCAAGAGAGACAUUUUGGCUCUAAACAAGCUCAUUGAAGCCUAUGCUCAAGUCUCUGGUCAAUAUAUUAAUCCAAGUAAGUGCAAAUUCUUCUCCACCCAAGCUACUCCAGCUAAGAUUGCCUCCCUUUCUGCUUGGUUGGGUUUCUCUAGGGGCAGCUUUCCCUUCUCUUAUCUGGGAGUCCCUAUAUUGAAAAGGAAGCCUAGGGCCAUCCACCUUCAACCUAUAGCUGAUAGAAUUGAGCUCAUGCUGGCUAAGUGGAAAGGCUCAUCUCUUUCCAACAUGGGCAGGGUUGAGCUGGUUAAAUCCAUUAUACACAGUAUGUUGACUUUCAGCUUUCAAGUCUAUUCCUGACCAAGUUCUCUGCUGAAAUUUAUUGACAAAAGCAUAAGGAACUUCAUUUGGUCUGGUAAUAUUAACACUAGAAAGCUUGUCACUAUGGCUUGGCACAAGCUCUGUACUCCUACUAAUGAAGGAGGUCUUGGUCUGAGGUCAAUUGCUGAAAUGAAUCAAGCUUCCCUGCUGAAACUUGCUUGGGGUAUGAGGUCUUCCUCUCAGGAAUGGGCCUUAUUUUACAGAGCCAGGUUCUAUAGAGCCAAUAGGAAGCAGGAAACCUAUGUAAAGUCAUCAAUUUGGCCUGGUAUCAAAAGAGUCUAGACUAUAAUCAAUGACAACUCUAGAUGGGUAGUUGGUAAUGGAGCUAAUAUACACUAUUGGCUAGAUAACUGGCUUGGUAGUCCUUUAGCCACCACUCUGAACAUUCCUCAGCAGCUUUAUUCCUCCUUGAAUGCAAGAGUUGAAGAUUUUAUCCAGGACAAUCACUGGUUAAUCCCCUCAUGGAUGACCUCUAUGCACCCUACAACCUUGUCGUCAGUCAUUAAAAUUCGUGUUACAAAUCAGACUCAAAAGGAUAAGCUAGUAUGGAUUCACUCUACUGAUGGUGGCAUGAGUAUGAAAGAUGCAUACAAUUUCUUCAAGCCAGGACAGACUCAAAUCAAUUGGUGUAAGAAAAUCUGGUCUAGCUUCAUUCCCCCAACAAAAUCAUUCAUAGUUUGGAGGCUGCACAAUAUUCUUGAUGUUAACCUUCAGAAAAGGGGCAUCCAUCUGGCCUCUACCUGCUACAUUUGUCAUGCUGCAGAGGAGUCAUCUAAUCACCUUUUCUUUCAAUGCAGUUUUGCUCUUGAUUUAUGGCACUGGCUUGAAAACAUUAUUGAUUUACCUUUGAACAGCUCCUCUAUUCAGAGCCUUUUGAGGGUGUGCAAGUCUAAUUGGAGUCCUCAACUUAACUUGGUAGUCACUGCUAGCAUAGUCAACACCAUCUCGACUAUAUGGUAUUGUAGGAACCAGAGUAGAUUUGAUGAUACAAAAGUUGGUUUCAUGCAAGCUUGUGAUAUGAUAAAUAGGGACAUUGCACUCACUGGAAAUCUAUCUACUUUGGCUGCUAAUCCUACCCUUUUUGAAUUUUCUACAAUUCGUAGAUUCAAUUGCUCUCCUCAUUACACUCCUGCUCCUGCCAUCACUGAAGUCAGAUGGCUUCCUCCUCCGUAGGGGUGGAUCAAAAUCAACUAUGAUGGUGUUGCCCAUGGUUAUCCCGGUCACGCCGGAGGUGGUGGUAUCUUUAGGGACAACAACGGGGACAUGUUGGGAUGUUUUGCUACCUAUCUUCACAUACAAGACUCUCUUUUUGCUGAGCUUUUUUCUGCAAUCAUGGCAACUCAGAUAACUAGCUUGAAGGGUUGGAGGGAGGUUUGGUUGGAGUGUGACUCAAGUUUGGUAGUUGAAAUUGUCAAGGGCAACAAAGAUCCUCCUUGGAAGCUUAGCAACUACUGGGAGCAUUGCAAGAGGAUAAUUCCUUCCUUGAGGCUCAAGGUUUCUCCCAUUUUCAGGGAAGGAUGGACAAACUAGCUUCCUACAGAGUGAACUCAAGAUACACUUCUUGGUGGAAUUUGGUCCCCCCCUUUUCUUGCUACGGAAUUUCAUAGGAAUAGAUACCUAUUGCCUAAUUAUAGGUUCAAGAAUAUGUAAUAGUUCCCUUUGUUUGUACUCUUUCUUGGUAAUAUAUCAUUAGGUGCCUUGACACCCUUGCUUUUAAAAAAAAGUACAUCAUUCAUUUGUAUUACUGAUAUGUAAUUGUAUUGUUUAUAUUAAAAAUAUUGUGGGAUCAUACAAUGUGUGAAGUUGCCACUAGUUGACAUAUAUAAAUAAAAACAUAAAUACUGAGAGAAAAAAAGACUAAGAAAGUAUUUAAUACUUUGCUAUAUAUAUUUGUAUAAAUGGGACCAAUUAUAUCAAGAGCAAACCAGACCAAAUUGGGUUUUCUUUCAAAUAUGGCUAAGAUCUUGACUGUAUUUGUGGUUGGAUGAGGUUAGGGCGUGCAAAAUCAUUUAAAAUCAGGCUGGACAAGAUUAAGGAAAACCAAUUUUUUAAUAUGAAAACUACAUUAAAACAAGGAAAGUUAUAAGUAUCAUAUUUGUUUAUACACUUAUAUAAAUGCAGCAUUUUAUUUUAAUCGUACUCUAGUGAGUUGAAAGCCAUUUUAGCUUUUAUCAUAUAAGUAUAUUAAAAUAAUAAUUGAUCUUAUGAUAUUAGCCCAUAUUUUUCAACGAGUUUUGCAUUUUAGUCUGGUAUAAAUAUGUUAGUGUUAUAUAAUGUUAUCUAGUUAAACCAUUGUUACCGAUAUAAGACUAUUGAGCAAGAUAUUACAUAUUAAUCACAACCUUAUUUUACCAUUAUAAAAAAACACAAAUAUUGAAUGAAAAAACUGAGAAAUUAUUUAAUAUUUUAUUAUAUAUUUAUUUAAUAAUUUAUUGUACAUUUUUAUUUAACAAUGAAAGAUGCAAAAACUACAAUUCAUUAAGCUAAUAUAAAGGAAGGAUUAGAAUAAUGAAAUUGUGUAUCAUAAAUAAAGCAUGUGAAAAGAACUUAUUUAAUAACCUACCAUUGAUAACAUAGAUGAAUGUAAUUAAGUGAAAUAAGUGAUAUAAACUUCAAUAAUUGGUAAAGUAAAAAAGACAAUAAAUUGCACCCAAAAAAAGAUGAAUAUGAAAAGGAAGAAACAUGAAAAAAAAUAUUGCUUUUGGGCAAAAAUAUCCUACCUUAACUUCAAAUCAAGUGAAUGAAAAUGAUUUGAUUAAUAAAAAAGUACAUAACAUCGUUUCAUGCUUUGAUUCCUUUCUCCCUACUCUACUCUUAGUGCUUUCACUUCUCAUCUAGCAAUUGUUCAUGGAUUUAGUCUCUCGGGUUGAGAAUAUAACAAAGCAAAAAGUUAUAUUCUUAAAUGGAAAUAAAAUGGGUUUCCACUUUUCUGAUGAGUUAUGGAGGUGGAAAUAAAUGUCAUCCAAAAAAUACAAAUCACACUUAAUUGGUUUUGCUCCCAGGCAAAAACAUCCUACCUUAACUUCAGGCAAAAAAAGUACUUUCACUUCUCUUACAACAAUUGUUCAGGGAUUCAAUCUCUUAAGUUGAGAAUAUAACAUUCUUAAAUGAAAAUUAAAUCGAUUUCCAUUUUCUAAUGAAUUAUGCAUGUGGAAAUAAAAGUCAUCCCAAAAAUACACAUCACGCUUGAUUGUUUUUCAUCGCAUGAGUACAAUGGUUACAAUAUUAUUAUAGUGUAAUACCUAUCUUGUCAUUUUUUAAAUUUAUACAUAAUUAAUAUAUCAUGUAUCAUUCAUUUAUAUUACUUGUAUUUAUUUGUAUUACAUAUAAUUUGAAAAACAAUUAUGUGGGGUGAUACAUUUUGUGAAGUUGCCACUAGUUGACAUAUAUAAAUAAAAACGUAAAUAUUGAGAGUAUAAACAUAGAAACUAUAUAAUAUUUUAUUGUUUAUUUAUUUAAUAAUUUAUUAUAUAUUUUUAUUUCACAAUGAAAGAGGAAUAAACUAUCAUUCUUUGAACUUAUAUAAAGGAAUGAUUAGAAUAAUGAAAUUAUGUAUCAGAAUAUUAGAAAUAAAGCAUGUUAAAAGAACAUAGUUAAUAAGCUACCAACUAUAACAUAAAUGAAUGUAAUUAUGUGCAAAUUAGUGAUAUGACUUCAAUAAUUGGAACACUAAAAAACACAAUAAAAUGCACCUCAAAUUAGAUGGACUUGGAAUGGAAGAAACAUGAAAAUAAAUAUUGCUUUGGGAAAAAAUAUCUCACCUUAAUUUCAAAUCAUGUGAAUGAAAAGGAUUUGAUUUAUAAGAAACUGAACUAAAUCGAUUCAUCCAUUGAUUCCUUUCUCCCCACUCUACUCUCGGUGUUUUCACUUCUCUCACAACAAAUGUUCACGAAUCCAGUCUCUCGAGUAGAGAAUAUAAUAAAGCAAUAAAGUUAUAUUCUUAAAUGAAAAUUAAAUGGAUUUCCAAUUUUAUGAUGAAUUAUGGAGUUGGAAAUAAACGUCAUCCAUAAAUUACAAAUCACACUUAGUUGUUUUCAUCACAUGUGUCACACCGUGAAUUUUCUGUGUAUGUUUUAUUAAUUAUUUAUUUUAAAAAUGAUUAAUUUUAGAAAUUAAUCGGUAUUGAAUUAGACUAAACCGUAAUUGAAUGUUAGUCUUUUUUUGUGAUUUUCUAUUUUCUGGAAAAUUUUCGUUAUUUUCUGUGACGGGAAGGUUUUGAGCUGGUGUCGGGCCCAAAUUCAUCCGAAUUCGGCCCAAUAAUGUGUUUUUGAGUUCCGUACCUCGGAAUCGAAUUCUGAUUGAGUCGUUGGCUUCGAAAUAUUAUUUCGAGUCAAGAUAGACAUCAAGUUUAUCCAGAACGCAUUUCUAAUCAUUUUUCACUCCGAAUUCCGUGUUUCGAAGUUCUAACCGUAAACCAAAAUCGGGAGAUUUUUAUUAUCCGUCCGGGUAUUAGCCGACAAUACUCGGGAAUGGUUUAAUCGAGAAUGUGUUAUCGAAAAGGUCACAUCACUUUCAUGUAAGAAGCUUGCUUGUUAAACAAGCAAAAAUACAUAUCCUCUUUCACAAAAUCCCCUAAAUCACUCAACAAAUCCUCUCACUCCACCACCAUUAGACACAUAACCUAUGCUAGUCUAAAUCUACUUACUUUGCAUUAAAUUUUAUGAUUUGAUGAGGGUGAGGCUCUCCUAUAAAUACCUCACCCCAUUCUCUCAUUUAUACACUAAAUUUCCUAUACAAACUAAGGUAGUCUUUUAUUUUCUCUUCUUCAUCUUCUUCUCAUACUUCAUAGAAAGUUAUGAGCUUUUAUUAUGUUGUNNNNNNNNNNNNNNNNNNNNNNNNNNNNNNNNNNNNNNNNNNNNNNNNNNNNNNNNNNNNNNNNNNNNNNNNNNNNNNNNNNNNNNNNNNNNNNNNNNNNUUGAAAUUUCUUCCUUGUUCUUAGAUGGAAAAACUAUAUCUUUGGACAAGGUUAGAUGAGUUAUUUGUUUGGAAAUAUUAGAAAUUAUUUGUUAGUAUUUGAAUAUGUUUAAAGGUAAUGAUUUUAAGAUCAAAGGAACCUUUAAUGUGUUUAGGAAAAAGUUUGUAUUUUGUUCUUGAAAGUUUAUGAUGUUGAUGAGUUGUUGUUGAAAAUGUUUAAUAUUUAGAAAGUAUUGUGUUUAAAAAUGGUUUAGCAUAUUUUACUCUUUGAUUUCCAAGUUAAAAUAAUGAUUUGGGAUAAAAGAUGAUUUAUUAAAGUCUUGACUUCAUAAACUUAAAGUGUUAUGAAGUUUUGGAUAUUAAAGUAGUAGAAAGUCUUACCUUAGGAUUUAUUUUCAUAACUACGAAAUUAACACUUACUAACCCUUGGGGUUUUUCCUAAAAUAUUAGGAGUUGUUAAGAUGUUCAUGAAAAAUUGUUGUAUUUAUUUUAGUUAACUUAAUUUAAAGCGGUAAGAAUAACUAAAAGAUGUUUAGUGUAAAAUAUUAAAUUAAGAGUCAUUCUUUNNNNNNNNNNNNNNNNNNNNNNNNNNNNNNNNNNNNNNNNNNNNNNNNNNNNNNNNNNNNNNNNNNNNNNNNNNNNNNNNNNNNNNNNNNNNNNNNNNNNAUUUACCUAAAAGUCUUGACUUUAUAAACUUAAAGUGUUAUGAAGUCUUAGAUGGUAAAAUGAUUUAAAAAUGUUGAAUCUUAGUUAAGUGAACUUACUUUAAAAUGGUAAGAUUUACUUAGAAAAUAUUGAUUUAAAAGUAUUGAUUUUGUUUAAAUUGAUUUACUUUAAAAAUGAUAAGUCUAGCUUAAUGAUCUUAUUUUAAAAGGUUAGUUUUAGUAAAAGUGUUUUACUUACAAAAAAUAAGAUUUAUGAACUAUCAGAAAAAUGUAAUGAAGUGGGAAUACUUGUCUAGAAAUGUUCUGUCUAAGGAAAGAUUUGGUAUUUAAGGGUGUCUUUACGACCCACCUCUCUUUUCUGGGAACUAGCCUAACGUAUAUCCACGUAUUACGACAUAAUUCCGGUAUAAGUUUUAUUGAAAAUCUUACUUUAAAAAGUGUUAUUUGAUUGUAAGACUUUCAAUGAAAAAUGAUGAUUCAAGGAUAUUCAACCUUGAAUCGGAUGGACGAAAGCAAUUAAAUUCAUUUUGAAUCGCAAGUUUUAUCUUCGCGUAAAAAGUUAUUUCGUAAUAUAAUUAUUAUCGUCAGUUAACUAAUUAAUGUUAUUUUGGUGUAAUGACGAGUUCGAGAGGAGAUCGGAUCAAGUAAGCUCACCUGCAAACAGAGAACCUAGUGACUCGACACACUCAUGUGAAGGAGAAAACAUCGUGACACAGUGGUGUCCGAAUAUGCAUCCAAACCUCCAAAUUCCCUCACAAUAUGGGGCAUGCUCAGCGUAAAGAACAUCCUUUAUCUCAAAAUAGUGAGCAAAACAAGCAAUGAAACUACCAUUUUCCUCUCUAAAAAUUCUAGCACCUCCAGCCUGACCCGAAGAACCAAAAGCUGCCCCAUCAGUGUUAACUUUAAAACAUCCCAGUAAAGGACAUUGCCAUAUUACUUCCACGAUUUUAGGACUCUUCCUAUGAUUCAUUUGAAUUCCCAGACCACGCAGGAUUGUGAAGUCUCUGAUGGAGGAGUUGGAACAAGAAGAAGUUAACUUCCCAGAUAAGGUAAUGUCCACCUUGAUGUUUGAUAUGAUGUUGUUAAUAGGAAGUCUUCUGUCAUCAAACUUGGAAUUGUUUCUAAUACUCCACAUGUUACUUAUUGCUAGGAUGAUGCAGUUCAGGAAAACCUCUCUCAAUUGAGGACUCCAACACUGAUUCUAAGAAUCAAGAUACUCAUGAACAAAUUUAGUGUUGAUAUUACAAGUGAAAAGAUUGCCAAUCCAGUUCCAGAUAUGAGAAGCCAAAGAAUAUGUAUGAACCCCUUCUUUGAAGAUUCCAAUGUGGACUUACAAAUGCUACACUAAGACACUAGAUGACAACCCCUUCUUUGAAGAUUGUCAUCAGUAGGCAAUCUUUGGUGAAUCCAUCUCCAAACAAUGAAAGAUUUAUUAGGAAGAAUAACUUAGGACCAAAUAAGCUUAAACCAUCUUUGUCAAAUAAGCUUAAACCAUACUUGAUUCAUACUUGUUGGGUUAAAGUGCAGAUAAGUCUACUUGGAAGUGAGAAUGCCAUCAAAAGCAUAUUGCCAAACUAUUCGGUCUUGAGAAUUAGUUCUGAUGGUUCUGAUAAUAUGAAAUUGAGUGUGCUUUAGCACUCAUAGCUUUAUCUAAAAAAUAUCUCUUUGCGUCUGAAUUGAUUUAGUAGUAUUUCAAUAAAAAUGAUAAUUUUUUAAGCUUAGUCCACUGAUAUUGAUGUUUUAGCAGGUUUGGGAAAUGCAACUAUGGAAGGCUGGUCUUUCAAUGUCCAAUGAAAAUCAGUAUAUAUCAUCUUCUAGAGUUACUAUUGUAUGCAACAUUCCAUUGCAUGAGCUGCAAAUUAAAAUCUAAUACUGAAAAGCUUAAGAAGUAAAAUAACAUGGGCACACAAGGUUUCUUGCUUAUAGAGGGAAUGACUUGUUUCCUUGGAAAAAUGUUAAGAUAUCUAUCAAAUCUUCUUGGAAUCUGAUUUAAAAACCAAUAAUUUGAGACACAACAUUUCCAACCACUUUCAAAGUACCAUGUGUGAACUUCAAAAGUGUAAAAAAUAAUAGAGAAAAAAAUGUUUAUUCUAACCAGAGGAAAAAAAACAAACUGCUCCUAACAGUGGUUAUUCUGUAAAAGUUUUAAAACAAGCAAAUGAUAACCUAUAUCAAAAGUGUUGAUUUUGGCCAAUAAUCCUAACCAAACGCCAUAUGAAAUAAGUUCAUAUUUAUAUGGAUAUUAGAGUGGAUUUAUGUUAGAAAUUAGAGUAACCAAACUGUGUAAGAUAAUCAAAUCAACUCAGUUCCUAAUCUAUUGAUUUCCAAACGUAAAUUUAAUAAUGUAAGGUAGAUCAAAUCAUUUCCAAAUACCAAUUCUAAUUUAUUUCAAACACUAGCUAAUAGGCAAUAUACCCAGGACCCAUGUUAAUUUGAAAAAUAAAUCUGUAAAGGUUAAACUUGAUUAUAUGCCAAAGUCUUGCAUAUUUAUUCAGAGAGAACUAGUUCAAGUGACAUCAACUCAAAGAUGCAACAACUGUACAAGACCUUUUCCCAGUAAGUGAGAAAAGACUUGAGAUAUUCUCUGGAAAUUCACCAAAGUUAAUUUAUUUCUCUGUCUACGUCAUAUUUUAUUGUUUAUCAUAAAUAAGGUGCAAUUGUAAGGCAAGACACAAUAGGAAGAGGAGUAUAUAUCAUGUCCAACAAUUUGCCUCAUCCUAUGUGUCAUCAACUGUGAUCAGUUUGAGAAAUAUUUAAUAAUUAAAUAUUUAAUUUAAGUAUAUAUUUAUCAACAAAUCACAACUGGUAACACAUUGAAUAAUACAAAUUACAGGAUAUCAGAAUGCUCCCAAUAUGUAGAGCCUAAGGUUCUGCAAAGAGCAUGAAAUCUCUGCAUUCUUGGCAACUACAGUACUCAAAGCGGCACAUGAUGCAGCCUCCAGAAUAACAAGUGGUGCAGCCUUGACAACCUGAAGAUCGAGUGCAUUCCCUACUGGUUCUGAGACCUAAUCGCUCUUGAGCACUAUCGCAUGUUAUUCUGACACAUCAAAUCAAUCACAUUCAUUAAUUAACAUACAUAUUGGAACAAAUCCCACGGUAACAUACUGGAAUCUACCAUAAUUAUAUUCUAGUUUACCAUAAGCUAAAUUAGGUUUGGUUUGGUCAUAGACAAAACAGGUGAAGCACUAAUGAAAGGGACAACAGACAACAUAUGGUGUAUUAUGGAGGAGGUAACUAUUUUUUUUAAGACAAAGUGCCUAAGCACCGAAAAUUAGAUUAAUAAUGAGAAGCCAAGAACAAUAGGAGGUCCAUUACAAAUUUAAGAACCUGUAGAUGGAAAGACCCAACCAAUUUCUAUAGCAAUUACUAUGAAUAAAAGAAGGAAUUGAAUUCCACCAAGUGUAAGUAAUGGAAGAGAUUCCAAACUUAGCCAAACUGUCAGCACAAGCAUUUCCUUCUCUGAAGAUGUGGGAAACCUUGAAGUUCAUAGAAGCAAGGUGAGUUUUACAAAUGGUCCAUCUAGCCUGAAGUUUCCAAGGCACUUUGGAUUUGCCAUUGAAAAUGUCAACUACAAGGGAAGAGUCACAUUCUAACCAUAUAGAAUUCUAACCUUUUUCAUGAGCACAAUCAAUAGCUAAGAUUGCAGACUUCAUUUCAGCAUAAAUGGCAUCCUUGAUACCAUAGGAAGCAGCAAAACAUGCAAUGAAAUUACCCUGGUCAUCCCUGAAAAUACCACCAUCCUCUACAACACGAGGAGAACCAAAAGCUGUCCCGUCAGUGUUAACUUUGAUCCAACCACAAGAGGGAAAACGCUAGAUAACUUCCACCAUUUUUGGGCUCUUUCUGUGGUUGCAAUUAAUAUGCAAACUUCUAAGAAUGGAGAUAUCCUUGAUGGUAGAGUUAGAGAAGGAUGAGCCAAGAUUGUCGGAUAAAGAAGUUUGCACCUUGAUGUUAGAUAUGAUAGAGUUUAAGUUCCACUGCUUAUCCUCAAAUAUGGAAAUAUUUCUAACAAACCAAAUGUUGCUGAUUGCUAAGAUGAUACAAGUAGAUAUGACCUCCCUCACUUGAGGACUCCAGCUCUGAAUACCACUAUUAAUUGCAAUAAAAAAGAGAGCCUAUCCAGGACCAAAUUAAAGAAGCUAAACUGCAGGUGAGGAAAAGGUGGUCAGAAGUUUCUAUGCUUUCUUUACAAAUACUGCACAUGGAGACCAGGUGACAACCUCUUUUAAUUAGAUUGUCAUCUGUUGGAAGUCUUCUAUGGAUCCAACACCAAGUGAUGAAUGAUUUGCUAGGGGGAAUUGAUUUAUUCCACAGAAGCUUGAAACAAUUUAGAGGGUUAGCAGUUGGAGAGCAAUGCUUAUAAGCUUGCUUGAGAGAAAGAAUUCCAUCAGCAGAGGGUUGCCAGAUGAAGUUGUCCUUGGAAUUGGAUAUGAUUAUUUUGGUGAGUUGAUUAGAGAUUUCAGGGUAGUGAGAAAGAAGGAUCCUUGGAAUGAUCCAUGUGUUACCCUCUAUAAAAUCCGCAACCUUAGCAUUAAGAGGUGAGUGAUACUCCUUAGGAAUAUUAAGAGAAGUCACCAAAGGUAGCCCUAGCCAAUUGUCUUUCCAGAAGUUUGUAACCUUACCAUCACCAAUUAGAUGAAUGGAGUUGUUCUGCAUUGAACACCAAUGCUGCUUGAUGUCCUGCCAAAUUGAGGAGCUGAAAAAUCUGGUUGAAGAAUUAAAGUGAGCACCAAAUCUUUGCCUAAAGAAGAAGGCCCACUCUUGAUUCGAAGACAUCAUCUGCCAAGCCAGUUUGAGCAGACCAGCUUUGUUCAUCAGGCUAACCGAUCUCAGACCAAGACCCCCUUGAUUGGUUGGAGUGCAGAUUGUCAUCCAUUUGACAGUAUAAAUUUUCCUAACAUCACUGUCUCCAGCCCAGAUAAAGUUUCUUAUCUUCUUAUCUAAAGCCUUGAUGAGUUGAAUAGGCCAAGCAUAGAAAUGAAAAGUGUAGGAGAGCAUGUUGUGGAUAACAAAUUUCUCCAACUCCACCCUUCCCAUGAUAGAAAGACAUGCCCCUUUCCAAUUUGCCAGUUUGUUAGCAAUUUUGUCAGCUAUAGGUUGGAGAUGGACCUUUUUGGGUUUCCCUUUGAAAAGAGGAGCUCCCAAAUAAUUGAAAGGCAAUUGGCCAGAGGAGAAACCCAGGUAGGAGGAAAGAAGGGAAACUUUCCAUGGAGAGGCAUUUCUAGUGUAGAAUUUGCAUCUAGAGGCAUUCAAAUGUUGACCAGAAAUUGCUGCAUAAUCAGCAAUGAGGUGAUUGAGACAGAGAAUUUCUCUCUUAAUGCCUUUGCAGAAGAUCAGAAUAUCAUCAGCAUACAGAACAUGGCUAGUAGUUUGUAAUCUUCAUGGAUCAGAAAUAGAGCUCAAUUUACCUUCUUCCACCAAUCUGUUAAUCCCUCUGCUGAAUACAUCUUCAGCAAUGCAGAAUAAGAGAGGGGAUAGAGGGUCACCCUGCCUCACACCCCUUUUGCAACCAAAAAAACCAACAGUUUGCCCAUUAAUAUUGAUUGAUAGUCUAGUAGAUUUUAGAAUCAUGUCAAUCCCGGUGAUGAAUAGUUGGCUAAAACCAAAAGCCUUGAGAGUGGGUAGAAGAAAAUUCCAAUCCAUCGUGUCAAAGGCUUUUUUAAUAUCAAGCUUAAGGAUCAUAUUGCCACCAAAAAUUUUGUGAUCAAGAAGGUUGGUUGCUUCUGAAGCAAGGCAAAUGCAAUCUAAUAUGUGUCUAUCUUUUAGGAAACCUCUUUGUUGAGGAGAGACAAUUCUAGAGGCAAUCUUGGCUAGCCUAUCAGCAAGCACCUUGGUUAUAAUUUUGAACUGAAAGUUAGCCAGAGCUAUAGGUCUAUAAUCUUCAACCUUGUUAGCUUCAGGGAAUUUUGGAAUGAGAACCAAAUUACUAGCAUUCAAAUUAGGAAGGAUCCAGCCUCUAUUGAAAAAUUGCAUCACAGAAUUAUAAACAUCCUCACCAACAAUAUCCCAGUAGGUUAGGUAGAAACAACCACUGAAUCCAUCAGGGCCAGGAGCACUAUUCCCUUUCAUGGCAAAAACCACUCCUUUAACUUCAUCCAUAGAAGGAGGAUUGGUUAACAUCUGGUUUUCCAACGCAGUAACAGAAGAAGGAAUAACAAAGUAUAUCAAGUGAGACUGGGAAGUAACAUUCUCAGUGGCAAAGAGCUUUUCAAAGUAAUGAAGGACAUGAUUAUGAAUAUCUUAUUUGCUAGUUAGGAUUGUAUCACCCACAUUCAAGGAAUUUAUUCCUUUAGUGGCUUGGCGGAUUUUAGUAGUUCUAUGAAAGAAGGAAGUAUUCCUGUCUCCAUAAGUAUACCAAUCACACCUAGCUUUUUCUUUCCAGAAAAGCUCCUCCAUAUUAAGAGCAUGCAACAGGAUUUUUUGGGCUUCUUCCUCUUGCUCCCUCAAGUCAUUCUGAUGCUUAGCAUUCUGGAUUGACUCCACAACAGCCAUAUCAUUUUUCACAUUGAUCUAAAUGUUACCAAAAGUGCUUAUGUUCCAAACUUUAAGCACUUGUCUAAGAUUUUUGAGAUUUUGAGAUAAGAUGAACAUUGGACAACCAAAGACUCUGUUUCUCCAAGACUCAGCUAUAGUUCUUUUGCAGUCAUCAUGGAGAGUCCACAUUUUGUGGAAUUUGAAUUGAGAUAUCCUUUGAUGAUUGAUCAAUUCGGAGCAAAAUAACAGGGGAUGAUUGUCAGAAGAGAUCCUAGGCAGGGUGCAGCAAGAGAUUUGAGACCAAGCAGAAAUCCAAUCUUCAUUACGAAGAAUUCUAUCUAACCUUUUUUCAGUUAGAGAUAAGCCUAUUCUCCUAUUAGACCAGGUGAAAGGAUUACCUGUAGUUGGUAAAUGGAUCAGGUCUGAGCCAUCAGAAAAAUCUUUGAAUUCACUGGGAGGCAGAGUAGCAGGUAAUCUAGGACCUUUGCAUUCAUGAGAACCCAAAAUUACAUUAAAGUCUCCAAUACAGCACCAAGGACCCAAAUGAGUAUGAAUCAGACCUUAUAACUCAAACCAGAAAGACCUUCUUUGAAUGUAAUUCGUGUGAGCAUAGAUAGCAUUUAAGUUGAUAUCAAUGCCCUCAAUAUUAAUAGCUAUAGAUCUCUGCUGAUCCGAGUUGGAGAUGAUCAGAGGAUCCAACCCAACCUUACAUAAGCCCCAAAUAUUGGAUAUCUGGUUGUGUCUAUUGUUAACAAUAAAAAGCUUUAGAUUUAACUCCUUCCAGAAAUUGGAGUUAACUAAAUCAUCAGAAAUCCAAGGUUUAGCUAAGAAAACCAAGUCAGGAUUGUGAGAAUGACAAAAUUUCUUUAAAACUAACCUUGUGUUAAGGUUAACAAAGCCUCUACAAUUCCAGUAGAUGACUUUCAUUGAAUACUGUUUGAAUGCCCACCCCUUCGGGUGAAAUGACUCUGUCAUUGUUGUCAUUUUUCUUCAAUUUUUUCUUCUGGGAUUUGCUCGAGACUGGAGUGAAACUUCUAUCUUGUAAUUCAACCUCCACAUCUUCUUCAUCAGCCCAAAGUCUCCCUACAAUCCUUAUGUCAUUAGCCACAGUAGGUUUUGCUAUGUCUUCAGUCUCUUGCACCAUAAAUUCAUUUUCCAGUUCUUGUUGCAGGAUGAAAUCUUUAUCAGCUAGAGUAUUAUCCAGCAGAACUGUGUUUAAUCCUUCCAUACUAGGAUCUCUCCUCAGAAAGUUUUCUGGAGUGGUAUCUACUUUUUCUAAGAGAUCCAUAUUGAUAUUUUCCCUAUUUUCAAUAUCCAGAUCAAUGGGUAAGUCAUUGAUGACUAUAUCAUUCUGGAUUGUAUCCUUUGUUUUGGAAAGGUGUGAUUCCUUGUGCUGAUUCUUGUGUCUAACCUUAGAUGUCUCCUCCCCCAUUGGUUUCUUUGUCACUUUUCUACAGCUAGAAAUUAGGUGACCAAUGGUAUUGCAUCCAGAGCAGAUAUCAGGUAAAUUUUCAUACUCAAUAUUCACAAAGAAACCAAAUCCUUCUCUUUCAACUAGGAUUUGAUUAGGCAAAUCCGCUUUAAGGUUGAUUUCCACUAGCACUUUUUCAAAGUGGCCAAACGAUGUAUUACUUGUUGCACCAUCCAUAGAGAUUGGUGUACCAACACCACCUGCAAUAGAAAAAAUUAUUUUCGGGCUCCAAUACUCUUGAGGUAAACCAAUAAUUCUAAUCCAAGAUUGAGAAUGAGUUUGCUUUUGCAGGUGCGGAUUAAAAUCUAGAGUCUAGAGGAAUAAUCUUAAAAUGCCAGGCUUAAGAUUCCAGGUUCCCGAAGAACAGAUCAACCUCAUAUCUUCCAAGGAGGAGAAGGAGAACUCAUAAAAUCCUUUGCCUAAGGAUAACAUAUUCCAUUUACCCACCAUAUUCCAUAGAGAGGAAAGUUUAUUUUUCAGAUCCAGGACAGUAUCCCCCUUGGUUAGAAUGAUUCUACCAUGAAGAUGAGAUUUGCACCUUUGUAAACUCGCUCGGUAUUCUGCCUCGGGUAUUCUAAUGGCUACUGCAUCACCCUUCAUACAAGGUUGGGGGAUUUGAUAAGAGGCUAUAUCACAUGUAUGACCCAAUAUUUGGGCAAAUGUUUUUUUCGGGGUUGGUGGAUUUUCAAGUAUUCCCGAUUUUGUAUUCCCUUCCUUGUUGCUUCCAUCUAGAAAACUCCAUGGUAUGUAUUAAGUUGUCAUGAUAGCCAAUCCAAGAAUUGUGGAACAGAGUUCCCAGAAAUUGGGAGAACUCUAGUUUUUCAUUUGAGAGGAAAUUUUUGAUCAGGUAACUAUUUAUUCCCUUUUUGAUUUAUACAUUUAAAUGUCUAAUAAAUAAUAAUGAUAUGCAAUAAGAAAUAAUAGUUUCUUAACCUAUCAUAAAAGGUGACAACAACAUAUCUUAUCUAAUAUCAAAAUUAGUAUUAAACUAAUUUCUUAUUUCUUUUUUUAUUAUCAGACCUUACAAAGUAAAUGUUUACUUAGUAUUAGGUAGUUUAGAAGAGAAUCAAUUUUUUAUGGGAUAUAGAUCAUUUGUUCCUAUUGAUGUCUCAUUCCUUGUCUCGGGCUAAUGAUAUAUUGCCAUAUGAAAAAAAGAAAGUUUUUAAAAUCAAAAAACAACAUUUUGACUGACUCGAGACACAGAAUGAGAUACCAUACGAGAUAUGUGAUCUCUAUCCCAUAUUAUGAUGUUAGAAAGUUCAAUAUCAUUAAGCUUAAGAAGUCGGUUGAGAUUAACUUACUUUUGAUAAGGCCACACAGAACACUUCCACACUUUAUUCUUCAGAGCAGCAUGAUAUUGUCCAAUUUGUUGCCUAGUCUUGAGACAAAAUCUACGCUCCUUUUGGUAACUAGAACAACGAAUGAACUCAUCCAUGUGACAAGUACGUUUGUGGUUUGCAGCAUCUAUCCAGUUUGGAACAUUUGCUAGAUGUGUGUAGUACUUAAACAGUGGUGUCCUCCAAAGAGGAACUUUGUCUUCUUCUUCAGUAUGAACCCAUAUGUUGCUUUUCCAUUUUCCAUUACUUUUUAUGCCAGCAUGCUUUUCAAAUUCCACCAGUGUCACAUUCACUGAUCAUUAGAGUAAAUAAAUUUUCACCAACUUUAGAAUUCUCACUUGUUACUACUUGUAUCAAUAUAUAAUCAAACUAUCAAAUAAUGCAUCACAUACAACAUAGGGAAAGAAUCCUUAUCUGUGUUAUAAUCGCUCAAUAACAAUAUAUCAUUAGUACCAUUUUUCUAUAGAGUAUCAAAUUAAGAAGAAGAGACUUAGUUGUCAAAACUAAGUUUAAUAUAUGACAUUAAGUGUAAGUAUCUAAGUUUAAUAAGACUUUACUUUAAAUCGAAGUAAAUAAGAGAAUAAUAUAAGGGUGCAUAGAAAUACUUGCAUGUGGUGCACUUAGAGUAACACUCACAAAUGAUUGAAAAUUGACCUUUGUCAUUAAUUCUAAGUUUCCCAAUGAAAUCUCCAUACUUUUUAUUUGUGCAGCCACAAAGAACCUCAAUAUAGUCACUUCCUCUUUCAUAACCUCUUACGUUCUUUAGAUCCUCUUCAUUAAAAGUUAUCACACCACCAUCUUCAAACACAGCCAGCUUUCUUCGUUUCCAUGUCUCUGAUUAUUUCAUGAGGAAAAUAGUUCCAAGCCAAUAAUUUAGACAAAAUUAAGUAUAAUAACAAAAACAAAAAUGUAUAACUAAUAAUGUUUUUAUUUGUAAACUGUAGCAAAAUAAAAGUGUAGAACAUAAGGGAAAUGUUGGAGGCAUAAACAUAAACUUAAAGCACCAACAACAAUUCUCUAAAAAAGUAAGUGUUCCUGGAACAUGUUGUUUCAAAAUAAUAUUAACUAAUUUAUGAGGUGUAUAUUGUUUAAAUUUUUUAAAAGGUGAACAUUUUUUGGCAUACAGGUUUAGAUCAGUGAUUGAAUGAAUUUUAGUAGUCUGUCAAAUAACAGCAUUCCAAAUAGUUGCAAAAUAUGUGGACAUCAUGCAUAAUAAAUAAGCUGAAAGGUUAUUUUCACCAUGGAGAAUGCAUAUCUUGAAUAAUAUCUAAAGGUGUUAUGGUAUAAAACUUUUGUGUUAUUGUUAAGAAUUGCUGUACAAAUAAUGGAUCUCAUACAUAAAACACUUCAAAAUUUAAACUAUUAUGUUCAAGAUCAUGCUUAUUACCCUUCAAUGAAUAGAUUCUCAAAAUAUAUUUUUAAUAUUAAAAGUAAAGAUGUACUGAAUUUUUGAAUCAUCUAAUAUUCAUUAAUUAUUUUUCAAUUAAAAAUAAUACUCAUGAAUAAUGUAGACAACUGUGUCGACAUUAUAAAGAACUUUAUAUCCACAAUAUAAAUUUUUUUAUAUUGACAAUACAUGCUCAAUAAACUCUCAAAAGUAUUGCUUCCUUCGAAAACAAUUUUGAAAUAUCAGCAAUUUGUAAUUAUCCUAUCAUAUUUCCCCAUAUCAAAUAAUACUUAUUUUUUGCUGCAGCGAUUUAGUGGUUGUGUUGGCUUAAGGGGAUUUACCUUCGUCUCUUUCGUUAAUAGCUCCUUUUAUUUCCAUUCCUGUGCAAAACACAUUAAUGGAACAAUCAAAACCUCAAUUAUAGUUCAUUAUUCCAUAUAUCACACUCCAUGGUUAUUUUAAUGACACAGCCCCUUACAAAAAUAUAAAAUUUAAUUAGGGUCUGUUUAGUUUUAUGUUGCUAUAAGUAAUUGCAAAUGUGUCACAUUAGUUUUAUUUUGUAAUAGGAAAUGGUGAAAACAAUAUUUCAUUGUUUUCGUCAUUUCCUAUAAGAAAAAUCAAGAAAAACAACACAAAUAAAAUGAAAACAAUGUAUAUAUUUUUUCAAAUAUUAACAGAAAACAUUUUUGUAACGAAUGAGAACCUAAUUUUUCCACUUGUUUCAAUCAUGCAAAUGGGUAUAAUGUUUUUUAGAAAACCUUAAAAAAUUGAUAAUAAAGUUCAGGGAUAUUUCUAUGGCAUUGCUUCUCUGGCAUGGGUUGCCUCUUGAUCAGAUAAUGCCCUAGACGGGAUCUAGCGUUAGUUUUCCACCGGAAAUCAUUUGGUCUAAGAAACCAAUGAAUUGAUUCUUCUUCCACAACUUAAUAGAAUAUAUAAUGCUAAAUUUAUAUAACUAGUGUGUUUAUAAAUCCUAACGGGGGAGCAUCCAGCAAUGGCGCACGACCAUAUUCUAGGAGAUUAAUCUCUUACCAAUCUGACAGUAGAAUAGUUUACAAAACAGAAAAAAUGUAAAACACAAUGACAAAAAUGUAAUAACGCAAAAAAAAAGACUCAAAAUCUAAAAGUUCAAAACAAUUAACUAUAAAUGAUUAUUGAUAAUUUAGAAAAAUAGGAUUUCAACAAUUUGGACUUAGCAACAUAAUUGAUGUCCCAUUUUACCACAAACUAACAUAAAACAAUUAUGAGUUUAAAAUAGCAGAUAUAAUGGUAGUAAAUACAACAUUUUAGUUUCAUUCAAGAGCAUUAGAGUUGUUUAUGUUCUUGAUGAUGGUGAUCCUCACCCUCUUCAUUCGAUGACACCUCUUGGUCAGCCACAAAAUGACAUAUAAUACCCAUUUUCACUUUCAUUUCCAAAUCAACAUCCAUUUGUCUAAAAGUAUAAUAAAAUGCUUUUUAUAUUACAAUGAAAGGGGAAAAAACUACAAUUCUUUAAGCUUAUAUAAACGAAGAAUUAGAAUGAAAUUGUGUAUCAGAAUAUCAGAAAUACAGAAUGUGAAAUGAACUUAGUUAAUAACCUACCAUUGAUAACUUAGAUGAAUGUAACUAUGUGCAGAUCAAUGAUAUGAACUUCAAUAAUUGAUAAAGUAAAAAACACAAAAUAAUUCGCCUCAAAUUAGAUGGAUUUGAAAAGGAAGAAAUCUCAAAACAAACAUCGCUUUCAGGCAAAAACACCAUACCUUAACUUCAAAUCAUGUGAAUUAAAAAGGAUUUGAUUUAUAAAAAAUUAAACUAAACUCAUUUCAUCCUUUGAUUCCUUUCUCCUUAUUCUACUCUUAUGCUUUAUUUGGUUGAUAUUAGAAUAAUGAAAUUGUGUAUCAGAAUAUUAGAAAUACAACAUGUGAAAUGAGCUUAGUUAAUAACCUACCAUUGAUAACUUAGAUGAAUGUAAUUAUGUGCAGAUCAGUGAUAUGAACUCCAAUAAUUGAUAAAGUAAAAAACCACAAAAAAUUUGCCUCAAAUAAGAUGGACUUGAAAAGGAAGAAACAUGAAAACAAACAUCGCUUUCAAGCAAAAACAUCAUACCCUAACCUCAAAUCAUGUGAAUGAAAAAGGAUUUGAUUUAUAAAAAAACUAAACUAACCCUGUUUCAUCCUUUGAUUCCUUUCUCUUCACUCUACUCUUUUGAUUUCUUUGGUUGAGAUUAGAACAAUGAAAUUGUGUAUCAGAAUAUCAGAAUAUCAUAAAUACGGCAUGUGAAAAGAACUUAGUUAAUAACCUACCAUUGAUAACUUAGAUUAAUGUAAUUAAGUGCAGAUCAAUGAUAUGUACUUCAAUAAUUAAUAAAGUAAGAAAAACACAAAUUUUUUUGCCUCAAAUUAGAUGAAUUUGAAAAGGAAGAAACAUGAAAACAAACAUCGCUUUCAGGCAAAAACAUCAUACCUUAACUUCAAAUCAUGUCAAUGAAAAAUGAUUUGAUUUAUAAAACAUUAAACUAACCUUGUUUCGUCCUUUGAUUCCUUUCUCCUCACUCUACUCUUAUGCUUUCUUUGAUUGAGAGGAGAAAGUGAGAAGAGAGAAGGAUCUGAAAGAGAUAGUAAAGAGAAAGAAGGAAAUGAGAAAGAGGUGAGAAAAUAAUUAGUUUUUUAUUUUGUUUGGUAUGAGUGAAAUGAAAGAGAGAGAGAGAGAGCGGGGAGAGAAAUAGGUAAGAGAAAAAACAAUAGAACAGAAUUAUAUUAUUAUAUACCAAGGCUGAAUUUCUCAUUUCAUAGUAUCCAACAAUUCCACUAGUUUUCUCUUCAUUAUUUAUGAGAGAUGGUUUUGUGUGGGUCCCAUAUGCUCUUUAGUCUCUCCACCCCUUCUCUCUUCACAAACAAAUGAUAGAAAAUACUAUUUUCUUUGCAACUUCUGUCCUCCUAACUUAUUUCCUAUUUUUUUACACAACCAAAUGAAGGCUUGGUGCUUUCACUUCUCUCACAACAUUUGCUCAGGGAUUUACUCUUUUGUUGAAUGGGUGAGGCACCCAAAAAAUUGUCUCCACCUUUGUCAAUUAUAGAGUUAGGUGGAUAAGAGUAUCACUUGUUCUCCUAACAUCUUUUCCCUAUUUUAAUAAAAUUCUUAUUGCUCAUAAACAAAUGUUCAUGUAUUCAGUCUCUUGAGUUGAGAAUAUAACAAAGGAAAAAUGUUAUAUUCUUAAAUGGGAAUUAAAUGGAUUUCCACUUUUCUGAUGAAUUUGGAGGUGAAAAUAAACGUCAUCCAAAAAAUACAAAUCUCACUUAGUUGUUUUUCAUGGCAUGAGUACAAGUGUUACAAUAAUAGUAUAGUGUAAUAUCUAUCUUGUCAUUUAUAACAUUUAUAUACAGUCAAUACAUCAUACGUCAUUCAUUUGUAUUACUUCACUACGCCAUAAUUCGUAUUUAAAAACGGUCAUUCAAUAACGCUUCCUAGCACAACUAUGUUAAAUACAAGACGAAAGAUAAUCAUCAAUGUUCCUUCUAAGCAAGUGAUGUUAAAGUUAAUAGGCAGAUAUAGCUUCAAUAACACUUGCUUCAACAUGCAGUGUUGUAUGUUUGCCCAAAAUAUUUAACAACACUCUUUUAAGAAAGCACUAUUGAUUUGAAUCUAUUCAACAAUGUUUGCUUAAACAAGUGUUGUUAAUGGUGACAUAUCAACGACACUCAUUACAAUGAGCGUUGUUAACAGUUACAUAUCUAACAGUGUUUGCUUUAAUGAGCAGUAUUAAAAGUCUCACAUAUAACAAUAUUUGCUUUAAUAAAGGCUAUUAAAAGUCAUACAUUCAAAAAACGCUUGUUUUAGUUAUUACAUAAUAUAUAUUUAAAAAAUUAUUUAAUUUUAUUUUGAAAGAUAUAUAAAUAUAUAUAUAUAUAUAUAUAUAUAACUAUAGUAAAUAUUACACGAAAAUAAUACAAAUUUUUUAUCAGAAACUCAUGCUAGUUUUUCAUAUAUAACACAACUUUGUCAUACAUAUAGGAAAAAGACAAUUAGUUAUUACUUAAAAAAUAUUCUAAAUCACCAACCAAUAUUAUUAAAAUAUAAUAUUAAGGUGGAUAAUUUGGUACAACAAAAAAAUCAUAUUUGGUAAGUAAAUUAUUUUAUUUGCUAUUCCAUUCUUAAAAGUUGAACAGAGUAUGACAACUAAAUUUUUUUAAAGAAAUUUGAUAUUUAAUAGCGUUUUUUUAAGCAAACGUUUUUUAUUUGAAUCUAUUCAAUAUCACUUGCUUAAAUAUGUGUUGUUGAAGGUGAUAUAUUAAUAGCGCUCGUAACAAUGAGCGUAUUAAAAGUCACAUAUUUAACAACACUUCCUUUAGUGAGUAUUGUUAAAAGUCAACAUUCAAACGAUGCUUAUUUUAGUGAGCGCGUAACUUUGCAGAUUUAAAAACAAAACCUCAUAUAGAGUAAUACACAUAUCAUUCAAUAUUCUAUUUCUCUUAUUCUUCUUCUCUUAGUUUCUCUCUUCAAGCAAAUUAUUAGCUUUUGGUUUCUCUCUUUGAGCAUAAGGUAAAUCAUUAUCUUAUUUUACCUCUUUUAUUUCUCUUUGAUUCACUCUUGUUGCUUGCAUUUACAUCUAUGUUAACCUUUACAUCUGUGUUAACUACUUAUUUUAUAAUACAGAAAAUGUCAAGGUUGAAUCAAGGUGGAGCUGUAAGUGAUUUGCCAAACUUGCAAUCUUUGUAUGUAUUUCUUUUAUUUGGCUAUUACAUUUUCAUCCAUAUUUUCUAUGUAAUUUGCUUUUUGAUUCUUAUUAUAUUAAAUCUGAACUUUGUCUUUCUAUCAUCUUAUUUCUUCAGUUAAGGGAGAGAAAUUUUUUAUGAAUUUAAUCUCUACAUCUUCAUCACCUUUGUCCCUAUUAUUACUACAUAUAACCUUAUGGGUUAAUGGAUUUGAACUAAGAGAGACAAAUUCAAUCAUUGAUUUAUGAAUUGGGUUUUUAGAAUGAUAUUUUUAUCGUCAAUUCUCUUGGAAAUAUAGUGAAAUUAGGUAUGUUUGUUAUGUGUUUGAUAUAAUGUGUGAGAGAGAUUUUGCCUUAUAUAAAAAGUAGACAUUUAACAUCACUGGCUUCACCCAGGGUGGUUAAAUGUUCACUUUCUAUGGCGCUUCACAAGCGUUGUUGAAUGACGAUUUUAAACAUUGUUGUUUUGCUAUUAUGGCGUAGUACUUGUAUUUAUUUGUAUUACUUAUAUUUUGAAAACAAAUUCUGUCAGGGGCAUACAUUAUGUGAAGUUUCCAGUAUUGGACAUAUAUAAAUAAAAAAAUUAAUAUUGAGAGAAAAAACUAAGAAAUUAUUUAAUAUUUUAUUAUAGAUUUUUGUUUAAAUGGUACCAAAUGCACCAAAAGGAAAUAGACCAAUUGGGCCCACUUUCAAAUAUGGCUCAGGUUGGAUAAGAUUAAGGAAAACCAGUUUUUUUAAUAUGAAAACUACAUUAAAACAAGGAUGUUAUGAGUAUCAUAUUUGUUUAUACCCUUAAAUAAAUGAAGCACUUUAUUUUAAUCAUAAUCUCGUAAAUUGAAAGUCAUUUUAGCUAUUAUCAUAUAAUUAUUUUAAAAUAAUAAAUGAUAGAGCAAAUUAUACUGACACCCUCUGAGUUUUAGUGAAAUUACACAAACCACCCCUCACUUUUCUACACCUACACAAACCUCCCCUAGUUUUUAUACUUUCAUUACACUGACCACCCCUGUAUAAGAAUUAAGUGUAAUCUUUUAAACAAAAAAUGUGAUAAAUGUAAUUAAGUUAAAUAAAACAUGAUAUAUUGUGUACACAAGUCUAAAAAAUAUACAAAUCAAUGUAUCUUUAUUAUUUUUUUGUUACAAAAUGCAUCAACAAUUCUAAAGAAAUAUUGUUUAAACCACUCUUAUAAUGUAGUCUAACGAACCAAAAAUAAUAAAGAAAUAUUGACUCAUAUAUUAUUUGGACUUGUCUCCACAAUAUAUCAUGUUUUGUUUAUCUUAAUUGCAUUUAUCACAUUUUUUGUUUAAAAGAUUACACUUAUUUCUUAUACAGGGGUGGUCAGUGUAAUGAAAGUAUAAAAACUAGGGGAGGUUUAUGUAGGUGUAAAAAAAUGAGGGGUGACUUUUGUAAUUUCAUUGUAAUUUCACUAAAACGCAGGGGGUGUCAGUGCAAUUUACUCUAUGCGAUCAAAAACAACUAAGUGUGAUUUGUAUUUUUUGGAUGACAUUUAUUUUUCACCUCCAUAAUUCAUUAGAAAAGUGGAAAUUCAUUUAAUUUCUAUUUAAGAUUUCAAUACCUUCUUUCAUUAUGAAUGAUUAUAAUAGGAAUUUACUUGGUCUUCCUAAUUACAGAUUUAGGAACAUGUAACUCCUCUUUGUAUCUCAUUUUUUGUUCCUUUCUAUAAUAUAUCUUGUGCUAUAGCACAGUUGCUUAAUUGUUUUUUAAUAAUAUUUAUUUUUCGCUCUUUUGUAUUCUCAACUCGAGAGACUGAAUUCCUGAACAAUUGUUGUGAGAGAUACGAAAGCACUAAGAUUAGAGUGGGGAGAAAGGAAUCAAAGGAAAAAACAAGGUCAGUUUAGUAUUUUAUAAAUCAAAUCCUUUUUUAUUCACUUGAUUUGAAGUUAAGGUAGGAUGUUUUUGCUGGAAAACGAUUUUUGAUUUCAUGUUUUUUCCUUUUAAAAUCAUUGUAAUUUGAGGUACAUUUCAUUGUGUUUUUUACUUUACCAACUAUUGAAGUUCAUAUCACUGAGAUGCACGUAUUUACAUAGAUCUAAGUUAUCAAUGGUAGGUUAUUAAGUAAGUUCAUUUCUCAUUAUUCAUAUAUGAUAUUCUGAUACACAAUUUCAUUAUUCUAAUCCUUCAUUUAUAUAAACAUUAAGAAUUGUAGUUUUUUCCUCUUUCCAUGUUAAAUAAAAAACACUUUAUUAUACUUUUAGAGCACUCAAUGUUGAUUUGGCAAUGAAAGUGAAAAUGGAUCUCAUACGUCAUGUUGUGGCUGAUCGACAGGUGCCAUCAAAUGAACGAGGUGAGGAUCACCAUCAUCGUGAACGUCAAAAAACUUUAAAGCUCUUUAAUAAAACUAAAAUAUUGUAUUUACUACCAUAAUAUUUGGUUUUUUAAAAAGUCAUAACUUUUUAUGUUAAUUUGUGAUAGGUAAGAGGUUAAUAUCUCCAUAUAAGUUAUUAUUUUAAUAUAUUUAUAUGGUUAUAGUUAAAAUGACCGUCAACACACUAGAUUAUUUUUAAAAUAAAGUGCUGCAUUUAUUUAUGUGUAUAAACAAAUAUGAUACUUAUAACAUUCCUUGCUUAAAUGUACUUUUCAUAUUAAAAUAAGUUGGUUUUCCUUAAUAUUGCCCAACAUGAUUUUGAUUGAUUAUGCAUUCUCUAACCUCGUCCAACCACAAAUAUAGUCAAGAUCUUAGUUAUAUUCGAAAGACGGCCCAAUUUGGUAUGGUUAUGUCUUGGUGCAUUGGAUACCAUUUAAACAAAAAUAUUUAAUAAAAUAUUAAACUAUUUUUAAUAUGUCAAUAUUAUAUACUGUCAAUACAUUAUUCAUGAUUCAUUUGUAUUACUUGUAUUUAUUUGUAUCACUUAUAUUUUUAAAAAACUUAUGGUGUGUCAUACAUUGUGUGAAUUUUCCAAUCGUUGUAUAUAUAUAAAUAAAAUCUAUAAUAUUGAGAUAAAAAAUAUAUUAUUGAGAUAAAAUUUAAGAAAUUAUUUAGUAAUAUAUUAUAUAUAUAUUUGUAUAAAUGGUACUAAUUGCAUCAAGGGCAAACCAGGCCAAAUUGGUCCCUCUUUCAAAUAUGGCUAUAAUCAUGACUGUAUUUGUGGUUGGACAAGGUUAGAGUGUGCAAAAUAAAUCAAAAUUAGGCUUGACAAGAUUAAGGAAAACCAAUUGUUUUAAUAUGAAAACUACAUCAAAACAAGGAAAGUUAUAAGCCAAAAAGUUAUAUUCUUAAAUGGAAAUUAAUUGAAUUUCCACGUUACUUAUGAAAUAUGGAGGUGAAAAAUAAAUGUCAUCCACAAAGUACAAAUCACACUUGGUUGUUUUUCAUCGCAUAGGUACAAGUGUUACAAUAAUAUUAUAGUGUAAUAUAUAUCUUAUCAUUUUUAACAUUUAUACAUAAUUUGUACAUCAUUCAUUUGAUGACAUUACAAUCUGGUACUGCAGGAACCAGAAUAUAUUUGAUGACAAACUAAUAUCUACAAGCCAAGCAAUCUCAAGAAUCAAAAGGGAGACUUCUUACUCUGGCUCUUAUCCCUCUACUACAGUGGCUUCAGGAGGCCUUCAUGAAUUACAAACUCUAAUGUUCUUCAAUAUUCCUCUCAAACUUAGUAAAGCUCCUACAUAUAUUGAAUUUCUAUGGAAGUCUCCUCAUUGGAACUGGAUAAAAGUUAAUACUUGGUUGUUUUUCAUCGCAUAGGUACAAGUGUUAUAAUAAUAUUAUAGUGUAAUAUAUAUCUUGUCAUUUUUAACAUUUAUACAUAAUUAGUACGUCAUUCAUUUGACAUUUACAAGAACUCGUAACUCCUUGAAUAUCUAUAUUUAAUGGAGAUGACGUGGCAAAAAAGCUCUGCUAGGGUUUGUUAGUCUCCAAUCUUCUUGGAUUGGUUGCAAUGAAUCUUCAAAACUCCUUUGUCCCUUGGGGAUUUCUCGCAAACCUUGGCUCCAGUUAUCAUUCUUCAUGCUCUGCACCAUCCUCUCCUCCAAAUGCAGCUCCAAUGAAGGAGAAAAAAAAUCCUUUGCUCAGGCUCUUUCUCAACUUCCCCAACCUUGUAUCAAAGGGGAUGCUAUUUCCAUAAAAAUCCCUGACGAAGAGUAUCAAGCUGGCCUGGCCAGAUGUCAAUCUCAUCUUCAUGGAAGAGUUAUUCUUUCAAAAGGGGACUCACCAAUCAAGUUCCUAGAUCUUAAGUCGAAGCUUGCAUCUAUGUGGAGAAUGAUAGGGAAGUGGAAUAUGAUAUCCCUAUGGAGAGGUUUUUAUGAUUUCACUUUCUCCUCGAUUGAGGGCAUGCGAUCUGUUUGUGCCGUGGGCUCUUGGAACCUCAAAACCGGAGUGUUGAGACUCUCUCUUUGGACUCCAGACUUCAAUCCUAAUCUUCAAAAGCUUUCACAUUCACAAUGUUGGGCGAGGAUUCAUGGUCUACCUCAGGAAUAUUGGAGUGCAAAAAUCUUAUUCUCUAUUGCUGGAGGAUUAGGAACACCAAUCUCAUUAGAUGAUGCAACAUCCAACAGAUCUUUUGGGCACUUUGCGAGAGUCUUAGUUGAUAGUGACUUGAAAAGUCAUUUUCAUAAUUAGAUCUUGGUUGAGAGAGAACGCUUUGCCUUCUUUGUGUCCAUUGAAUUUGAAAAUCUUCCUGACUUUUGCUCGAGGUGCAACUCAAUAGGUCACCUAGCAUCCAGAUGCAGGAAAAACAACAUAGAAGGGGAAGGAGCUACUCUGAAACCUGUAGGGAAAAAAAUAAAUAAUAAGGGGAAGCUAAAGGUGAAACCUAUUGCUGACCUGGUUAUCCAUCUGGAAAUUAACCAUUUGGAAGGUCCUAAACUGGCAAAUUUGGAAAGGGUCACAGAUAAGCUUGUUCAGGAAAAUAUCUCAGUGGAUGAGGAUGAGGAGGAUGAAAUCUUAAUGAUCAAGAAAUGGUCCUUAACUUACAAAAUGAAAACUGAGGUCUUAGAGGAUUUGGCUAAUUCAAUUGCUUCUAAGGACUCCAGGCUCUUGGGAAGACUCUGGGCAGAUGACUUUGAAAAUGAAGCAGAAUUGGUGGAGACUAACACCUUCACCAAAGUUUUAACCAAAUCUCAAAAGAAAAAGAUUAGGCAAAAACAAAGCAAGGAAAGAGUGCAUUUUACCCGUUGGGGUGGAUACUUAAAUGUCUCUCAAUGAAAGCCCUCUACUGGAACUGUAGGGGAUUUGGUAACUUGGGCACCAAGCUAUUGCUAAAAGAGAUUUGUUCUACUCAUAAGCCUGAUGUAGUUUUCAUAUUUGAGCCAAUGAUCCAUGGCAAUAAAAUUAAACCCAUGUUUUGGUCCAAUUUGGGUCUGAAGCUCUUUAUAGCUAACGAUAAAGCUUCUCUGCCAUCUUCAAUUUGGGGAGUUUGCAAGGUUGGUAUUCAGCCAACUAUAAUAGCUAACUCUAGGCAACAAAUAUCGAUUGAGUUAGAGGUUGAAAACAAAAAGUUCUUCUUCUAUGCUGUGUAUGCUCACACCCAUUUUGUUCACAGAAGAGAGCUCUGGAAGGAGAUUCACCAAAUUCUUCUCAAUUUCCCUGGUCCCUAAUGUUGCAUUGGGGAUUUUAAUGUUGUCUUGGGAGCUAAUGAAUGUCGUGGUGCCCGUUUGCCCAAUAAAACUUCAUCUGAUGAGUUUAAAGCUUUCUCUGAUUCUACAAACUUGACUCACAUUGUAACAAGAGGGGCUGAGUUCAUCUGGUCCAAUAAAAGGAGAGGUUCUGCCCAUACAGAGAAGAGGCUUGAUAGAGCAAUCUGUAAUGAUGCUUGGCUGAGUGAAUGGACUAACAUCACCUCUUGUACUCUUCCUAGAUCUAACUCUGAUCAUCACCCCAUGCUCCUUUGUGCUUCAGGGGCUAUAAGUAUUAGGCAAUCCCCUUUUAAGUUCCAAAAAAUGUGGCUGCUCCAUCAUGGCCUGAGAGAUCUAAUUAAGACCAAUUGGGAUACAAGGGUUAUUGGAUGCCCUAUGUUUGUUCUAUCUUCAAAGCUGAAAAGCUUAAAAGUGGUGCUAAAGACUUGGAAUAAGGAGGUGUUUGGUAAUAUCCAUCUUAGGGUGAAGGCUGCCUUGAGUAAAGUUAAUGAUAUUCAGCAAUGCUUAAAUCUCAGUGGGGAGGAUCAUGAUCUCAGGGAGUAGGAAAAUCUGGCUCAGAAGGAGCUCCUUUAUGCCUUAAAAUUGAGGAAGAAUUCUGGAAAGAAAAGGCUCGCAUCAAUUGGCACUCUAAGGGGGACAUGAAUACCUCUUACUUCCAUAAGUUAGCCAAAAUAAGGCAUUCAACCAAGGCUAUGACCAUGUUAAGGGAGGGGGACACAAUCCUGUUAGAACAAAAUGAGAUAGCUAGUCAUGCUUUGUCCUAUUUCACAGAGUUGUAUGCCUCAGAGAACAAUGUCCAACACAAAGAUUUGAUCAAUUCUGUGGUGCCCAGGGUGGUUUCUGAAGCCAGAAUUGUAUGCUCACUAAAAUUCAUAUGCUUGAAUAAAUUAAAAAUGCAGUUUUUGGUAUGAAUGGUGAUGGUGCUCUAGGUCCUGAUGGGUUUGGUGGUUCCUUCUUUCAGGAGUUUUGGGACAUUGUUGCCCCGAUGUGUGCAAUUCAGUCUCCCAAUUCUUUUCCCAGGAAUGGAUUCUUCCCAAUAUGAACUCUAAUUAUGUGGUUCUGAUCCCUAAGUUCCCUGGUGCUGAUAGGAUUGAAGACUUCAGACCAAUUUCUCUUGCCAACUUCCAAUUCAAAGUGAUCAUAAAAGUCUUGGCUGAUAGGUUGGCCAUAAUUGCUCUAGAGAUUGUCUCUAGUCAGCAAAGAGGCUUCAUCAAAGGAAGACAUAUCCAGGACUACAUUUGUAUUGCUUCUGAAGCCAUCAAUCUGCUGGAUCAUAAGUCUUUUGGGGGGAAACCUAGCUCUCAAGCUGGAUAUUAGGAAAGCCUUUGACACAAUUGAUUGGGGAUUCAUAUGCAAUACUCUAAAGGCUUUCGGAUUUGACAACAAAUUCAUAGCUUGGAUAAAUAUCAUCUUGGGCUCUGCUAAGCUAUCCAUUGUUGUUAAUGGCCAAAAUCAUGGUUACUUCAGUUGUAAGAGGGGUGUUAGGCAAGGAGACCCCCUAUCCCCCCUUCUCUUCUGUCUUGCAGAAGAUGUCCUAAGCAGGGGCUUAGCCAUGUUACAUGCUGAAGAGAAAAUUCAUUCCAUCUCUAGCCCUGGGAAAAUAUCUACACCCUCUCAUGUUUUAUAUGCUGAUGACAACCUCAUUUUCUACAAAGGAAUCAAGAGAGACAUUCUGGCUCUAAACAAGCUCAUUGAAGCCCAUGCUCAAGCCUCUGGUCAAUAUAUUAAUCCAAGUAACUGCAAAUUCUUCUCCAUCCUAGCUACUCCAGCUAUGAUUGCCUCCCUUUCUGCUUGGUUGGGUUUCUCUAGGGGCAGCCUCCCCUUCUCUUAUCUGGGAGUCCCUAUAUUCAAAGGGAAGCCUAGGGCCAUCCACCUUCAACCUAUAGCUGAUAGAAUUGUGCUCAGGCUGGCUAAGUGGAAAGGCUCAUCUCUUUCCAUCAUGGGCAGGGUUGAGCUGGUUAAAUCCAUUAUACACAGUAUGUUGACUUUCAACUUUCAAGUCUAUUCCUGACCAAGUUCUCUGCGGAAAUUUAUUGACAAAAGCAUAAGGAACUUCAUUUGGUCAGGUGAUAUUAACACUAGAAAACUUGUCACUGUGGCUUGGCACAAGCUCUGCACUCCUACUAAUGAAGGAGGUCUUGGUCUGAGGUCAAUUGCUAAAAUGAAUCAAGCUUCCCUGCUGAAACUUGCUUGGGGUAUAAGGUCUUCCUGAAAGUGCGCAUGUCAAGAUAGCACUUUGGAAAGCUUUCUCACUAUGUGUUUAGUUUUGAUGAGGAUAACUUGUGAUUAUGAGAGAUUGAAGAUCAUCAACAAAUCAACAUGCUUAAGUCUCUAGAUUGGUAUUAGACUUAGACUAGUAAUUAGUUUAGGUUGAGUCUAAGGCUUAGGUAAACUCAAUACAUGUCUCAUAUGCAUAAAACUUUAAAUCAGUUUAAGUCUUGUGAUAUGUCAUUUAUAAUAUGUUCAUGCAUCAUAUAAAUACAUGUAAUUUGUGCAUCCUAGGCAGAAACUUAGUGUUGAACAUGUAUAAAUUAAGUGCAUAACGUAUUUGAGUUUUGCAAUUUGAAAAUACACUUGGAAAUAUGUUGUUAAUCGAUUAAAGCAUGAUUUAAUCGAUUAACAUGAGUUUUUGAAAUGUUGUUGAAACUGAAAACUUGGAAAAACAGAAUUAGUUACGUUUUUAAAACACGUUAAUCGAUUAACCAAGGUCUUAAUCGAUUAACUGGGCUACUGAAGUGAUUCUUUAUAAACUGCGUUUUCAGAACUUAAGCCAUAACUUGCAUGUUAGAUUUUAAGAGAGUUAGAGCAUAUUUNNNNNNNNNNNNNNNNNNNNNNNNNNNNNNNNNNNNNNNNNNNNNNNNNNNNNNNNNNNNNNNNNNNNNNNNNNNNNNNNNNNNNNNNNNNNNNNNNNNNGGAAUGGGCCUUAUUUUACAGAGCCAGGUUCUACAGAGCCAGUAGGAAGCAGGAAACCUAUGUAAAGUCAUCAAUUUGGCCUGGUAUCAAAAGAGUCUGGACUAUAAUCAAUGACAACUCUAGAUGGGUAGUUGGUAAUGGAGCUAAUAUACACUAUUGGCUAGAUAACUGGCUUGGUAGUCCUUUAGCCACCACUCUGAACAUUCCUCAGCAGCUUUACUCCUUCUUGAAUGCAAGAGUUGAAGAUUUUAUCCAGGACAAUCACUGGUUAAUCCCCUCAUGGAUGGCCUCUAUGCACCCUACAACCUUGCAGUCAAUCAUUAAAAUUCGUGUUACAAAUCAGACUCAAAAGGAUAAGCUAGUUUGGAUUCACUCUACUGAUGGUGGCAUGAGUAUGAAGGAUGGAUACAAUGUUUUCAAGCCAGGACAGACUCAAAUCAAUUGGUGUAAGAAAAUCUGGUCUAGCUUCAUUCCCGCAACAAAAUCAUUCAUAGUUUGGAGGCUGGACAAUAACAAAAUGCCUCUUGAUGUUAACCUUCAGAAAAGGGGCAUCCAUCUGGCCUCUACCUGCUCCAUUUGUCAUGCUGUAGAGGAGUCAUCUAAUCACCUUUUCUUUCAAUGCAGUUUUGCUCUUGAUUUAUGGCACUGGUUUGAAAACAUUAUUGAUUUACCUUUGGACAACUCCUCUAUUCAGAGCAUUUUGAGGGUGUGCAAGUCUAAUUGGAGUCCUCAACUUAACUUGGUAGUCACUCCUAGCAUAGUCAACACCAUCUCGACUAUAUGGUAUUGUAGGAACCAGAGAAGAUUUGAUGAUACAAAAGUUGGUUUCAUGCAAGCUUGUGACAUGAUAAAAAGGGACACUGCACUCACUGGAAACCUAUCUACUUUGGCUGCUAAUCCUACCCUUUUUGAAUUUUCUACAAUUCGUAGAUUCAAUUGCUCUCCUCAUUACACUCCUUUUCCUGCCAUCACUGAAGUCAGAUGGCUUCCUCCUCCGUAGGGGUGGAUCAAAAUCAACUCUGAUGGUGCUGCCCAUGGUUAUCCCGGUCACGCAGGAGGUGGUGGUAUCUUUAGGGACAACAAUGGGGACAUGUUGGAUUGUUUUGCUACCUAUCUUCAUAUACAAGACUAUCUUUUUUCUAAGCUUUUUUCUGCAAUCAUGGCAAUUCAGAUAGCUAGCUUGAAGGGUUGGAGGGAGGUUUGGUUGGAGUGUGACUCAAGUUUGGUGGUUGAAAUUGUUAAUGGCAACAAAGAUCCUCCUUGGAAGCUUAGCAACUACUGGGAGCAUUGCAAGAGGAUAAUUCCUUCCUUGAGGCUCAAGGUUUCUCCCAUUUUCAGGGAAGGAAAUUCAUGUGCGGACAAACUAGCUUCCUACGAAGUGAACUCAAGAAACACUUCUUGGUUGAAUUUGGUCCCCCCUUUUCUUGCUAUGGAAUUUCAUAGGAAUAGAUACCUAUUGCCUAAUUAUAGAUUCAAGAAUAUGUAAUGGUUCCCUUUGUUUGUACUCUUUCUUGGUAAUAUAUCAGUGGGUGCCUUGACACCCUUGCUUUUAAAAAAAAGUACAUCAUUUAUUUGUAUUACUCAUAUGUAAUUGUAUUGUUUAUAUUAAAAAUAUUGUGGGAUCAUACAAUGUGUGAAGUUGCCACUAGUUGACAUAUAUAAAUAAAAACAUAAAUACUGAGAGAAAAAAAGACUAAGAAAGUAUUUAAUACUUUGCUAUAUAUAUUUGUAUAAAUGGGACCAAUUAUAUCAAGAGCAAACCAGACCAAAUUGGGUUUUCUUUCAAAUAUGGCUAAGAUCUUGACUGUAUUUGUGGUUGGAUGAGGUUAGGGCGUGCAAAAUCAUUUAAAAUCAGGCUGGACAAGAUUAAGGGAAACCAAUUUUUUAAUAUGAAAACUACAUUAAAACAAGGAAAGUUAUAAGUAUCAUAUUUGUUUAUACACUUAUAUAAAUGCAGCAUUUUAUUUUAAUCGUACUCUAGUGAGUUGAAAGCCAUUUUAGCUUUUACCAUAUAAGUAUAUUAAAAUAAUAAUUGAUCUGACGAUAUUAGCCCAUAUUUUUCAACGAGUUUCGCAUUUUAGUCUGGUAUAAAUAUGUUAGUGUUAUAUAAUGUUAUCUAGUUAAUCCAUUGUUACCGAUAUAAGACUAUUGAGCAAUAUAUUACAUACUAAUCACAACCUUAUUUUACCAUUAUAAAAAAACACAAAUAUUGAAUGAAAAAACUGAGAAAUUAUUUAAUAUUUUAUUAUAUAUUUAUUUAAUAAUUUAUUGUACAUUUUUAUUUAACAAUGAAAGAUGCAGAAACAACAAUUCAUAAAGCUAAUAUAAAGGAAGGAUUAGGAUAAUGAAAUUGUGUAUCAUAAAUAAAGCAUGUGAAAAGAACUUAUUUAAUAACCUAUCAUUGAUAACAUAGAUGAAUGUAAUUAAAUGAAAUGAGUGAUAUAAACUUCAAUAAUUGGUAAAGUAAAAAAGACAAUAAAUUGCACCCAAAAAAGAUGAAUAUGAAAAGGAAGAAACAUGAAAAAAAUAUUGCUUUUGGGCAAAAAUAUCCUACCUUAACUUCAAAUCAAGUGAAUGAAAAUGAUUUGAUUAAUAAAAAAGUACAUAACAUCGUUUCAUGCUUUGAUUCCUUUCUCCCUACUCUACUCUUGGUGCUUUCACUUCUCUUAUAGCAACUGUUCAUGGAUUUAGUCUCUCGGGUUGAGAAUAUAACAAAGCAAAAAGUUAUAUUCUUAAAUGGAAAUAAAAUGGGUUUCCACUUUUCUGAUGAGUUAUGGAGGUGGAAAUAAAUGUCAUCCAAAAAAUACAAAUCACACUUAAUUGGUUUUGCUCCCAGGCAAAAACAUUCUACCUUAACUUCAGGCAAAAAAAACACUUUCACUUCUCUUACAACAAUUGUUCAGGGAUUCAAUCUCUUGAAUUGAGAAUAUAACAUUCUUAAAUGAAAAUUAAAUCGAUUUCCAUUUUUCUAAUGAAUUAUGCAGGUGGAAAUAAAAGUCAUCCAAAAAAUACACAUCACGUUUGAUUGUUUUUCAUCGCAUGAGUACAAUGGUUACAAUAUUAUUAUAGUGUAAUACCUAUCUUGUCAUUUUUUAAAUUUAUACAUAAUUAAUAUAUCAUGUAUCAUUCAUUUAUAUUACUUGUAUUUAUUUGUAUUACAUAUAAUUUGAAAAACAAUUAUGUGGGGUGAUACAUUUUGUGAAGUUGCACUAGUUGACAUAUAUAAAUAAAAACGUAAAUAUUGAGAGUAUAAACCUAGAAAUUAUUUAAUAUUUUAUUGUUUAUUUAUUUAAUAAUUUAUUACAUAUUUUUAUUUAACAAUGAAAGAGGAAUAAACUAUCAUUCUUUGAACUUAUAUAAACGAAUGAUUAGAAUAAUGAAAUUAUGUAUCAUAAUAUUAGAAAUAAAGCAUGUUAAAAGAACAUAGUUAAUAAGCUACCAACUAUAACAUAGAUGAAUGUAAUUAUGUGCAAAUUAGUGAUAUGACUUCAAUAAUUGGAACACUAAAAAAAACAAUAAAAUGCACCUCAAAUUAGAUGGACUUGAAAUGGAAGAAACAUGAAAAUAAAUAUUGCUUUGGGUAAAAAAUAUCCCACCUUAAUUUCAAAUCAUGUGAAUGAAAAGGAUUUGAAUUAUAAGAAACUGAAAUAAAUCAAUUCAUCCAUUGAUUCCUUUCUCCCUACUCUACUCUCGGUGUUUUCACUUCUCUCACAACAACUGUUCACGGAUCUAGUCUCUCGAGUAGAGAAUAUAAUAAAGCAAUAAAGUUAUAUUCUUAAAUGAAAAUUAAAUGGAUUUCCAAUUUUAUGAUGAAUUAUGGAGUUGGAAAUAAACGUCAUCCAUAAAUUACAAAUCACACUUAGUUGUUUUCAUCACAUGUGUAACACCGUGAAUUUUCUGUGUAUGUUUUAUUAAUUAUUUAUUUUAACAAUGAUUAAUUUUAGAAAUUAAUCGGUAUUAAAUUAGACUAAAUUGUAGUUGAAUGUUAGUCUUUUUUUGUGAUUUUCUAUUUUCUGGAAAAUUUUCGUUAUUUUCUGUGACAGGAAGUUUUUGAGUUGGUAUCGGGCCCAAAUGCGCCCGAAUUCGGCCCAAUAAUGUGUUUUUGAGUUUCGUACCUCGGAAUCGAAUUCCGAUUGAGCCAUUGGCUUUGAAAUGUUAUUUCGAGUCAAGAUAGACAUCAAGUUUAUCCAGAACGCAUUUCUAAUUAUUUUUCACUCCGAAUUCCGUGUUUCGAAGUUCUAACCGUAAACCGAAAUCGGGAGAUUUUUAUUAUCCGAUCGGGUAUUAGCCGACAAUACUCGAGAAUGGUUUAAUCGUGAAUGUGUUAUUGAAAAGGUCACAUCACUUUCAUGUAAGAAGCUUGCUUGUUAAAUAAGCAAAAAUACAUAUCUUCUUACACAAAAUCCCCUAAAUCACUCAACAAAUCCUGUCACUUCACCACCAUUAGACACAUAACCUAUGCUAGUCUAAAUCUACUUACUUUGCAUUAAAUUUUAUGAUUUGAUGAGGGUGAGGCUCUCCUAUAAAUACCUCACCCCAUUCUCUCAUUUAUACACUAAAUUUCCUAUACAAACUAAGGUAGUCUUUUAUUUUCUCUUCUUCAUCUUCUUCUCAUACUUCAUAAAAAGUUAUGAGCUUUUAUUAUGUUGUUCNNNNNNNNNNNNNNNNNNNNNNNNNNNNNNNNNNNNNNNNNNNNNNNNNNNNNNNNNNNNNNNNNNNNNNNNNNNNNNNNNNNNNNNNNNNNNNNNNNNNGUUUUAGUAGUAUACUUGUAAUAAUGAGAUUUACCUAAAAGUCUUGACUUUAUAAACUUAAAGUGUUAUGAAGUCUUAGAUGGUAAAAUGAUUUAAAAAUGUUGAAUCUUAGUUAAGUGAACUUACUUUAAAAUGGUAAGAUUUACUUAAAAAAUAUUGAUUUAAAAGUAUUGAUUUUGUUUAAAUUGAUUAACUUUAAAAAUGAUAAGUCUAGCUUAAUGAUCUUAUUUUAAAAGGUUAGUUUUAGUAAAAGUGUUUUACUUACAAAAAAUAAGAUUUAUGAACUAUCAGAAAAAUGUAAUGAAGUGGGAAUACUUGUCUAGAAAUGUUCUGUCUAAGGAAAGAUUUGGUAUUUAAGGGUGUCUUUACGACCCACCUCUCUUUUCUGGGAACUAGCCUAACGUAUAUCCACGUAUUACGACAUAAUUCCGGUAUAAGUUUUAUUGAAAAUCUUACUUUAAAAAGUGUUAUUUGAUUGUAAGACUUUCAAUGAAAAAUGAUGAUUCAAGGAUAUUCAACCUUGAAUCGGAUGGACGAAAGCAAUUAAAUUCAUUUUGAAUCGCAAGUUUUAUCUUCGCAUAAAAAGUUAUUUCGUAAUACAAUUAUUAUCGUCAAUUAACUAAUUAAUGUUAUUUUGGUGUAAUGACGAGCUCGAGAGGAGAUCGGAUCAAGUAAGCUCACCUGCAAACAGAGAACCUAGUGACCCGACACACUCAUGUGAAGGAGAAAACAUCGUGACACAGUGGUGUCCGAAUAUGCAUCCGAACCUCCAAAUUCCCUCACAAUAUGGGGCAUGCUCAGCAUAAAGAACAUCCUUUAUCUCAAAAUAGUGAGCAAAACAAGCAAUGAAACUACCAUUUUCCUCUCUAAAAAUUCUAGCACCUCCAGCCUGACCCGAAGAACCAAAAGCUGCCCCAUCAGUGUUAACUUUAAAUCAUCCCAGUAAAGGACAUUGCCAUAUUACUUCCACCAUUUUAGGACUCUUCCUAUGAUUCAUUUGAAUUCCCAGACCAUGUAGGAUUGUGAAGUCUCUUAUGGAGGAGUUGGAAUAAGAAGAAGUUAACUUCCCAGAUAAGGUAAUGUCCACCUUGAUGUUUGAUAUGAUGUUGUUAAUAGGAAGUCUUCUGUCAUCUAACUUGGAAUUGUUUCUAAUACUCCACAUGUUACUUAUUGCUAGGAUGACGCAGUUUAGGAAAACCUCUCUCAAUUGAGGACUCCAACACUGAUUCUAAGAAUCAAGAAACUCAUGAACAAAUUUAGUGUUGAUAUUACAAGUGAAAAGAUUGUCAAUCCAGUUCCAGAUGUGAGAAGCCAAAGAAUAUGAGAGAAAUAAGUGAUUUGAAGAUUCCAAUGUGGAAUUACAAAUGCUACACUAAGACACUAGAUGAUAACCCCUUCUUUAAAGAUUGUCAUCAGUAGGCAAUCUUUGGUGAAUCCAUCUACAAACAAUGAAAGAUUUAUUAGGAGGAAUAACUUUGGACCAAAUAACUUUAAACCAUAUUUGAUUCAUACUUGUUGGGUUACAGUGCAGAUAAGCCUACUUGGAAGUGAGAAUGCCAUCACAAGCAUCUUGCCAAACUAUUCGGUCUUGAGAAUUAGUUCUGAUGGUUCUGAUAAUAUGAAAUUGAGUGUGCUUUAGCACUCAUAGCUUUAUCUAAAAAAUAUCUCUUUGCGUCUGAAUUGAUUUAGUAGUAUUUUAAUAAAAAUGAUAAUUUUUGAACCUUAGUCCACUGAUAUUGAUUUUUUAGCAGGUUUGGGAAAUGCAACUAUGGAAGCCUCGUCUUUCAAUGUCCAAUGAAAAUCUGUAUAUAUCAUCUUCUAGAUUUACUAUUGUAUGCAACAUUCCAUUGCAUGAGCUGCAAAUUAAAAUCUAAUACUGAAAAGCUUAAGAAGUAAAAUAACAUGGGCACACAAGGUUUCUUGCUUAUAGAGGGAAUGACUUGUUUCCUUGGAAAAAUGUUAAGAUAUCUAUCAAAUCUUCUUGGAAUCUGAUUUAAAAACCAAUAAUUUGAGACACAACAUUUCCAACCACUUUCAAAGUACCAUGUGUGAACUUCAAAAGUGUAAAAAAUAAUAGAGAAAAAAAUGUUUAUUCUAACCAGAGGAAAAAAAACAAACUGCUCCUAACAGUGGUUAUUCUGUAAAAGUUUUAAAACAAGCAAAUGAUAAUCUAUAUCAAAAGUGUUGAUUUUGGCAAAUAAUCCUAACCAAACGCCAUCUGAAAUAAGUUCAUAUAUAUAUGGAUAUUAGAGUGGAUUUAUGUUAGAAAUUAGAGUAACCAAACUCUGUAAGAUAAUCAAAUCAACUCAGUUCCUAAUCUAUUGAUUUCCAACCGUAAAUUUAAUAAUGUAAGGUAGAUCAAAUCAUUUCCAAAUACCAAUUUUAAUUUAUUUCAAACACUAGCUAAUAGGCAAUAUACCCAGGACCCAGGCUAAUUUGAAACAUAAAUCUGUAAAGGUUAAACUUGAUUACAUGCCAAAGUCUUGCAUAUUUAUUGAGAGAACUAGUUCAAGUGACAUCAACUCAAAGAUGCAACAACUAUACAAGACCUUUUCCCAGUAAGUGAGAAAAGACUUGAGAUAUUCUCUGGAAAUUCACCAAAGUUAACUUAUUUCUCUGUCUACGUCAGAUUUUAUUGUUUAUCAUGAAUAAGGUGCAAUUGUAAGGCAAGACACAAUAGGAAGAGGAGUACAUAUUCUAUCCAACAAUUUGCCUCAUCCUAUGUGUCAUCAGCUGUGAUCAGUUUGAGAAAUAUUUAAUAAUUAAAUAUUUAAUUUAA
rnacentral:lncRNA from 1 species